AGAGCUUGAGAAAACCCAUGACUUCGUAUUCAAAGGCCUGCUCGCCGGGGACGAGCAGCAGGCCUUCAGGGUCAUUGAGGAAGAACUUGUUUUUGUCCAUGACAUGUAUUACACAAGGUACUCUUACCUCUACCAAAAGGGUCGAUACCUGGCUCUUUGUCUGCCUGUCAUCAUGUCUGCCCUAUGCUCGUGGCUCGCAGUGGCCAGCCUGCACAUCAAGCGUACGGACGACCCCUAUCUCAGUAGUCGUCUCAACCGCACUCUGCUGUCUGGCACCAUAGUCAUACCGGUUGUCGUGGCAUUCCUGGAGGCAUACCAGACGUACCUGUACAUGGCCUCAGGUUGGUUCAAGGUGGCUUUGAUACGGAGCUACGUCACCGCACCAUUUUUGCAAACAAGCUGUUGUUCUGAGAUGAUCAUACGUCUUCUCUUGAUGUUGAAGGCGUUUCGCCCAUGGAAGGGCAGACUCGGGCAGUACUGUUUCCUCGAGAGUCUUUGCCGCAAAAGUAAGAUUAUGAAUUGUCUCCAUUAUGCUACACUACGCCUGGUGGACAAGGCCGUGAAGGGGCGCAUGGAAUCAGUAAAGCUGUCCGGAAAUGUGAAGAAAGCCAUCAUUGAUUCCCUACUAGGAAGCAACGGAAACCUGACGAACGGGGUAACAUCGCUACAAAGAAAUGGCGUCCAUGGUGACCUUUCGUGGGCAUGUGAUGCUACUGCUACCGAUGGAGCGGUGAGUCGCACCAUUCUGGUCUGGCACAUUGCUACAACACUGUGUGAGCACCAGCUGGAUAAACAAGGAAAACAAGCAGAGGCGGUUAGAACAGCCUCCACUUUAUCUAAGUACUGCAUGCAACUGCUCGCUUUCGCACCUAACCUCUUACCUGACCACAGCUCUAUAUCGGAAGCCAUACUUGAUGAGUCAAUUGAUAAUGGAGGCGACCCUCGGUGGCAGGGAUUACGAAAGCUACUCGAAGGGUCCAAUGAUCUGGAGAGCAGGUGUAAGGAAUUAUUGAUGUUUAACAUUGAUAAUGGUGAUGGUGGUGAAGCACCGCUUGUUGCACAGGGCGCUCGGCUUGCAAGGCAGAUUGAAGGCAUACAUGACUCGAAAUUGCGGUGGAAGGUCCUCUCUGAUUUCUGGGCGGAGAUGAUGCUGUAUGUCUCGCCGUCUGACGAUGCCCGGACACACCUGGAAGUUCUUCCAAGAGGAGGGGAGUUCAUCACGCACCUUUGGGCGCUGCUCACGCAUGCCGGUGUGCUGAAGCGAGGCCCUACAGAGCCAAAGGAUGUUGUGUGAUCUGUUCAACCAGUGCACAAGUAACACUCCAUAUAUCAACCUAGUGCUUGUAAGUUGUAACAUCCUAUGUAUAUUGCCUACAGUCAUGUAUACCAUGUGUGAGUUAGUCUGUCGAGUCUGUAUCUCUUUUCAUGUUGUGUCUGUUGUCAGAUUUUGGUCAGGAUCGGAGUCUGUAAUUUCGUAAGGGUUUAGUAAAAAUACAUUAAAGUACAUUUCACCUUUAUUUUUCGGAAUAUAUAAUCAGUUAGUCUUAAAUCCAUCAGCACAAUAUAUCAAAACCUCAGUUAAAUUCCACCCGGAUGAACAACCACCAAGGGAUGCUUUUCGUUAAGCUAUAUAUAUAUAGCCUCAGGGCUCUCCAGGACUCCAAACUGUGUACUCUCUUUAUUAUCAGGCUCCCACUCUCCAGGACUCCAAACUGUGUACUGCCGACAUGGCUUUGGCAACAAGUCCCUCACCAAUUCCCACUCCCCAAGAUGAUGAUGUGCUAGCUUUGUUCUACGUGUUAGCUUUGGUCUUCCUGGCCGUGGUGGCCAUAUUCCUCUUGCAUUUACUGGGUCCGCUACGCCGGUGGUUGAGCAAGGGUCUCCUCCAUCACAUCGUGAUGGGAGUCUACGCGCUCUCCUACCCGCUGGUAGGCUACACCAUUGGGCUGAUGCAGUCUGCCAAUUGGUACUUCAACGACUUCACCGUGUGGGCUGUGUUCCUGCUUCUGCUCCUCAGCAGCACGGAUAGCCUCACAGCUUGCCGCCUCAACGACAUCGACAACUGGAAGAACAUCUACGUGAAACAACUCUUUAAGGGGUUCUUGUUGGUGUUUAUCAUUCUAAAGUUUGGCCGUCAGAUGAUGAUGAGGAAUUUGGAUGCCGACUACCUGUGGUACCCGCUCUCAGCCAUCCUGGUCGUUAUCGUCCUCAAGUCAUAUCUGAUGAUAGCUUCCAUGAGGAUGGUGAGCAAGUCUUACCUCGGUAAGAACGUGAAGGUGAUCGCCGAAUACAUGCAGCAUAUAGACAACAGGCUGGUGGUCUUCAAUCCUGUGACCAUGGAAGGCUACCAGUACAUGGUCGCUGGUGAGAAACACUGCGUUAACAGGCCUGGACACACACCAUGGUACAAGAAGCCGGACGACUUGAAGGUUACCACCGUGGAGCAGAUCUGGCAGUGCGAGGGGAAUCUGCUCAUUGGUGAUCAGGGCAAGGUGCUCAAGGACUUGUGCCUCUCUAUGGCUCUCUCCAAGAUGCUCAACCGAAGGUUUGCUGGCUUCAAGCUCUCAGAGGCAGAGCUUGAGAAAACCCACGACUUCGUAUUCAAAGGCCUGCUCGCCGGGGACGAGCAGCGGGCCUUCAGGGUCAUUGAGGAAGAACUUGUUUUUGUCCAUGACAUGUAUUACACAAGGUACUCUUACCUCUACCAAAAGGGUCGAUACCUGGCUCUCUGUCUGCCUGUCAUCAUGUUUGCCCUAUGCUCGUGGCUCACAGUGGCCAGCCUGCACGUCAAGCAUCACGACGACCCCUAUCUCAGUAAUCAUAGCAAUCGCAGUCUGAUGUCUGGCACCAUAGUCAUAACGGUUGUCUUGGCAUUCCUGGAGGCAUACCAGCUGUACCUGUACAUAGCCUCAGGUUGGUUCAAGGUGGCACUGAUACGGAGCUAUGUCGCCGCACCUUUUUUGCAAACAAGCUGUUUCUAUGAGAUGAUCAUACAUCUUCUCUUGAUGUUGAAGGUGUUUCGCCCAUGGAAGGGCAGACUUGGGCAGUACUGUUUCCUCGAGAAUCUUGGCCGCAAAAGUAAGGUUGUGAAUUGUCUCCAUUAUGGUACACUGUGCUUGGUGGACAAGGCCAUGAAGGGAAGCAAGAAAUCAGUGAAGGUCUCCGAAGAUGUGAAGAAAGCCAUCAUUGAUUCCCUACUAGCAAGCAACGGACACCUGACGAACGGGGUAACAUCGCUGCAAAAAAAUGGCGUCCAUGAUGACCUCAAAUGGGCAUGUGAUGCUACUGCUACUGACGGAGCGUUGGCUCGCACCAUUGUGGUCUGGCACAUUGCUACAACCCAGUGCGAGCAGAAGCUGGAUAAACAAGUCAAAGAAGAAGACGCUGUCAAAACAGCCUCCACUUUAUCCAAGUACUGCAUGCACCUCCUUGCUUUCGCACCUAACCUCUUGCCCGACCACAGCUCCAUAUCGGAAUCCAUACUUGAUUAGUCAAUCCACGAAGCAAGCAAGUUACUCAAAGAGGCCAAGGACAAGAAGAUCAAGGGCAAGAACAAGAAGAUCGAGGGCAGGUGUGAGAUACUAAUGCAAAUUAGCACUGAUGAUGAUUGUGUUGAUGAUGAAACAAUUCUUGUUGCGCGGGGCGUUCACCUUGCAAGGCAACUGAUUGAUAACAUACAAGACUUCACAACACGGUGGAAGGUGCUAUCUGAUUUCUGGGCGGAGAUGAUGCUGUAUGUCUCGCCAUCCGACGAUGCUCGGGAGCACCUGGAAGUUCUUGCAAUAGGAGGGGAGUUCAUCACGCACCUUUGGGCGCUGCUCACGCAUGCCGGUGUGCUGAAGCGAGGACCUACAGUGCCAAAGGAUGGUUUGUGACCUCUUUAACAAGUACACACGUAGCAGUCAUUAUAUCUAUCUAGUGCUUGUAACAUUCUAUGUAUGUUGGCACACCAUGUGUGAGUUAGUCUGUCGAGUCUGUAUCUCUUUUCAUGUCGAGUUAGUUUGUCGAGUCUGUAUCUCUUUUCAUGUCGUGUCCGUUGUCAGAUUUUGGGCAGAGUCAGAUCUGGUAAUUUCCGCAAGUUUCCUUAAGAAGAGCGUGUGUUCAGGUUGUUGGACGUGCGCGCGUCUAAGGUGGCCAUUACAGUCGCAAUCUGUUCCAUCGACCACUUGGGCACUCUCUCUCAGUUGCGUCUGUUCGUCUGUCAAUUGAGCAGGUCCUGUUGCAGCAGAGAUUGACCCUGCUACUACAGAAGGGGCGGGGAUCCCCUCCUGAGGAUUCCAGCUCUUUAGGGAGGGGUUCAACCUUGAGGAAGAUGCCAUAGUAGGAAUUCUUGCAUUCAUGUUCGUAACAAUACUGAGUGUUAUGGAAAAAUAUGGUCUUCUUCCUCUUCCCUCUUUGGGGAAGGGAAGCCUUUAUUCUUCGCGGAGUGUAUUGGGGAUAUAGGACUGAAAGCAGUGAUCAAGGACACGACUUGCCUUCUUGGUCUUGCUCCUGCUGUUCAUACUCCUCGAAGGCUUGAUCUUCAAAUCCCUCGAACUGCUGAACGUCUACACGCAUCAGACAAGCACAUACAAGCAAACAAGGGCAUAAAGUAAGAAAACAAUACACCAAUCAAAAUUAAACAGAGAAAACAAGCUUGUAAAAUUGAUCUACGCUUUAAAAACGAACAUGUAGAUAUAAAGAAUGCGAAAAAAGGAGUUAAGAUGCAAAAGAUAUAAUUAAAAUAAGAUCCAGGGGUUUUUCUGCGAGAAUUCAAAACUUUUAGGGUCAAACUGCGAAAAAUUGAGGACUUAUACAUAAUUACGUGUAUAAACUGAAGGUUUAAUGUGCAAAAACGCAACUUAGGAUGGCAGGUUGAUUUUAGAGAAACUCAGGGUCGAAACCGAAAUAAAAUAGGACCAAAACACAAAUGCUUUUGAACUGGAUUGGACUGCGGGUUGAUUUGCAGAAAAGGUGAGGGCUUAAGUGCAAAAGAGGCGCGACGCGGCGCGGUUGACUAGUACGCGAUCUAGUUGACCCGCUGUGGGCCGUCGGAUUUGGAUCCGACGGUCAUGGUCGUCGGCGACACUGAAGCGGUGGCAGAAAAAGGUGGCGGACGGCGACGAGCGGCGGCGCUUUGCCGGAGUUGGCCGAAACAGCGCUCCGGGGUUCGGUUUCGCGCGCGGAUUGCACGAGAUGGAUGCGGGGAACACGACGAACUCAUUUAGGGCUUUGGCGGGGGUUGCGGUGCGACGGAGCUCACUUUUUGGCGGCGGCUUGCGGCGGUGCUGCUAGGGUUUGGAGGGGCGAUGGCUGGGUGCUUGAGGCCGGGGGGGGUGCGGCGGCUUAAAUAGGGGCGUAUGGCGGCGGGAUACGGAUAGGAGAUGGACUCCGCGCGGAGGAAGCGCGCGGCGGUUGCGGGAGGUGGGCGGAGUCCGGGCGCGGUCGGGGAGAAGUCCCGGCCGGGUACGCCUGCCCCACCCGUCAGACCGGUGGAAGGGAGCGGGUCGGCGCUGCUUCGCGGGCCGUGGAGGAAAGGAGAUGGGCCGGUGAGGGAGAAACGUGGCGUGGGCCGGAGGAGCUGAGGGGAGGCGGGGCCGAAAAGGGAGGGAGGUCGGUAUGCUGGCCAGGCCGGCAGAACGGGCCGAGCAAACGAGACGGGCCGACAAGUGAAGGUGGAGCUGGUGGCGCUGGGCCGCAAGGAGUUGGAGCCGGGCUGAAAGAAAAAGGAGGAGGAGAAAGAAUGCAGCCCAAGAGGGGACAGUAAAAGAAAAGAAGAAAAGGAAAAGUUUUGGAAAUUGAAUUUGAGAUUUUGAAUUGGAAUUUGGAUCAAAUACAAUCAACCAAAAAUUAUGCACCAGCAUGAAUGUACAACAAACUCCUAUGAUGAAUUAAUUUAAUUUAGAGAAAAUGAAAAUUAAUAUGCCUAAGAAUUUAAAUGACAUCUUAAUUAAGCAAAUUUUAAUGAAUUUAAAUUAAGCAAAUUUUAAUGAAUUUAAAUUAAGCAAAUUUUAAUGAAUUUAAAUUCUUUAAAAAUUUGGUGUUACAAAUGCCAGGCUUUCGGGUCCGUGCACCCAAGUCCUAACAUGACGGAGAUUCUGGGUACCAUCCUAUGCCAAGUAGCAGAUGGUGCAAUGUCUGCUGGCAGUGGCACCGAACCUGCAGCAGAACAAAAUAUCAUCAACGACAUAUCAAUUUCCCUCUCUGACAAGAGGUACGCAACAUUGCAUCCUGUCCAUUCCCAUUCCCUUUGCGCUUGUCGAACAACCCGUUUGUGUUAUGGUACUAUCCUAAAAAUAGAACAUAUUAUGUUUGGAACGUUAGUCCAACAACCCGUGCAUCCACACAUAUUUUUAGAAAAAGCAUAGAUAAUUGAGCUUUGUGAAAGGCAUAUAAUUUAGUAAUAUUUAGAGGUGAUUAUGUUUUCUAAGUUUUUUACCAUGUUUCUUCUUCCUCCUAUGAUUAUGUGAAAGGUUUUAUGGAGUACUCAACAAAGUUUGCUAGUCCAUUAACCACGCUUUUGCACGGGAUAUAAAUUUUAAAAGAUUCAUAAGUAUUAAAAGCUCAUGGAUAGUUAAUCCGAAGUCUACGAGUAAUUGAGAAAUUGCUUAUCUUUGCUUUGUCUCCUAUUUAUUUAAUUUUUUUAAAACAAUAUAUACCCAUAUAGGUAUUUUCUUAUAAUCUUGUAUGUUGGUGAUUGGUGUUGAUUAAAAAUUACUUUAUAUGCCUUUUAAUUCACAUUCAUAGUCUUUUCAACUUUAGAUGAAACAUUAGUGAAGGACUGAGAUGGGCGACUGGGGGUGAAUAGGAGCCUCCAAUAAUUCUUUUAAAUAAUAAGGCCUAUAUCCCAAUUGCCACCCAAAACGCAUCUCGCUUCUAAUCAUCAAGAUGACACUAGUCAACUCGUGACAAUUUCAUCUUAGGAACGAUUAGAAACACUCGAAAGCGUAGCGGAAGCAAAGAAAAGCAAAACUUCGAAAAGUUUGCACGAGAUAUUGAUCUCAAACACUACCAAAUCAUUACUUGACUAAGCAUGCUUGAAAUAAUUAAUUAAGAAUUAAGCAUGAUUAACAAAGUGACAAAACUACUGAACAAGUAGCUAAUAAACAAGGUAGCACAGAUUAACUAGUAAUAAUUAACUAGCUCAAGUGAUAAAUUAAUAAUUGCAUGAAUUAAAGAACCGAGCAACCAAAGAAAAGCAACUGGGCUGCAGCUUGCUCACCUUGCUGGGCCGCUUGCACACUGCCACGGAAGAGCUCCUAGCUGCUGUGCUGAUGGGCGAGCCUGGUGCUGCACGGACCGGUGUGCUGGGCCGCCUGGCUCCGGCCUGCUACGUUGACAGGUCUGGAUCGCUCGAGCCUAGCCACGGCCUACUGGACUGCUCGGCCGCGCGGCUCCCUCCGGCGUGGCUGGGCUGCCUGGCCACCCGCGCUGGGCCGCCUGCCUGGUCAGCUGCUGCGCAGGCCAGGAAUUUUUUUAUUUUUAUAUUAUAAUAAAUAGUCGAAUAAAAAAUUUGUAAAAAUAGACGUUCGCUGCCGGAUCAAAUGGUGGUAAGAUCGCUUUUGCCGUAUGAAACGGAGGAAGGGUACCGGCCGCCACGUGCUGCCCUCCCUCGCCGGCUGAAAUGGUGGUAAGGACUCUUCCGCCAUUUCAACCAGUGAGGCAGCCCGGGUUGGCGACCUAUAGCCGGUUGAAACGGCUAUAACGACCCCUUCAGUUAUUUUCCCUUCAUUUUUCUGACUUUUAUCAAUUAUUUUUCCUUUAUUGUUUUAUUAUUUCAAUUAUAUAGUUGUAUCGCAAUACUUAACUUAGUAAUUUGAGGUUAUACCUCUAUCUUGAAUAUUGUUCCUUUAAAUUUUUAUAUGACAUUUUUUUAGAGAGGUAGAGUGAUUGCACGAAAUCAUUGAAAAUCAUGAAAUUCCGGCCUACGUAAAGUAGUCUGUGGAUACAAUUGUACAAUCAUGCGCGUUACAAUUGUACACAUGAUAGCUUGUACCGGCGUACAAAAGAUAAAAGAGGUCCUACAUACUAAAUGUGUUCUCGCUUGAAACGAAGCUGCCACCUCCCCCUCCCCGACCACGACCACGCCUCGCUGCCCACUGCGCUGCUCUGGUCUGCUGCUGGUCGUACGUCAAGAGCUCUCGUGGGGCAACGUUGCAAGGCGGACGUCCUACUGCGGCUGCAGAUGGUGUCCCGAGCUCCUGGGUCGCGUCCUGUGUAGGAGCCUUCGGGGCCUCACGCAACUACGAGGCACCGAUCACGUCAGGCUUAGGUCCGAAAAGAUUGUCCACCCAUGCAUGGAAGCCUGACAAGAUUGUCCACCCAUGCAUGGAUGUUGGACCUCUGUCCCUCCUCCUCGACGGAGUCCUCCGGAGCCUCUCCGUGGUCUGCGAACCCUGUUAUGCAACUAAGGAAAUGAUAUUGUUGGUUUCGUUGCAUAUUUAAAAUGGAAUAGAAAACAUGUAUUCGUUGUGCACCGAAGCGGUGUAGCUCUAUGCCUGGUGGUGCUAAAGAAGGCCCCGCUCCACUGUAAGCUCCGUACAUCUGCGGGCUGUGUUAAUAAAUUAUUAUUUAGUAAGGUGAAUUGAAAAAUAUUUCGUAAAUGGUGUACGACAAAAUAACGUACCGAAAGUGCAUUUCAAGUUUACCCCAAGAUGUGAUAAGAUGGUAUGGAUGUAAAAGUUUCUAUGCACCUUUUUUUAUAGGUACCUGGUAAUAAUCGAUGACAUUUGGCAUUGGGAAGAAUGGGAAGUCAUCCGAAAAGCUCUUUCCAAGAAUAAUAUGGGCUCUAAAAUAAUCAUGACGACUCGUGUCAAGGCUUUAGCUGACAAAUGUCGAACUGAACAAGGUGCACAUGUGUAUACACAGAGUUUUCAUCACGAGGACGCUAAAAGACUAUCAGACAUGAUACUGAACAAGUCUGUCGGAAGAGACAUACUUGAAGCCAAUGCGGAGUGGCUACCCAGAAAGAUUGUGCAUACGAGUGGUUUGAUGCCACUAGCAAUAAUCUGUUUGUCGUCAGCAUGGGCAGAGAGCCAUGGGCAAGACGACGACUAUGGGGAAUAUUGGUAUAUUUGGGUAAGUGAAGUGCUGAUGGAUAGGUUUCUGAGUACUCCAUCCUUGAAACCACUACUCCAGAGUUUAUGCCUUGUUUUCGACGAUCUUCCCGUUGAGCUGAGGACUUGCUUGCUGUACUGCAGCAUAUACCCUCUGGGUUACUUGAUUCAAAGGGGUUGCUUGGUCAGAAAAUGGAUACCCGAAAGAUUUGUUUCGCAACAAGAAGUAUCAGAAGCUUACUUUGACAAGCUUGUUUCUAGGAAUCUAUUGCAGCCGGUACCCAAAUACCAGAUCUUUUACAUUUCCACCCCAUAAUGAUAGCCUUCCUUGUAUGCAGAGCAAAAGAAGAUAAUUUUGUUGCUUGUCGGCAGCACAACAAUGGCCGCGGUAGCUCCUCGCACGCCAAACAGAUCCGUCGCCUUUCUCUCGACACGGAUUGCAUUCCAGAUGAGGAUGUAGUAUCUCAUAUUCGCUCCCUUGCUGUUCUUAGUGACCAACCCCACAUUGGUGUCCCCUUGAAGAAGUUUAAAAACCUGCGAGUGCUAGAAAUUGACAGCUGUAAACGUCUAGAGAACUUUUCUCUGGUGGAUAUAUGCGGGCUGAUCUGGCUGCGGUAUCUGGGUCUCAACGGCUGCCUUGAAAUCACAGAGAUCCCACGGGAGAUUUGGAGACUGCAGAAUCUGGAGACGCUAGAGGUGAGGAACACAGGUAUUUGUAAACUACCCAUGGAAAUUGGGACACUGGUGCAUUUAAGGACUCUGAAUGUAAGUGGCACAAUGGUCACAGAGGUUCCAAGGGAAAUCACCGGACUUUCUCGUUUGGAGAAUCUGGAUGUAAGCUCGACAGGGCUGAAAGAGUUGCCUAAGGAAGUAGGAAAACUACAGGAGUUGAGGACUCUGGACAUUAGAGUGACUAAAGUCAGAGAGCUACCCCGCAGGGAAAUUCCAAAUUCUUUUUUAAGUGUGGUCGGCCACUUUGAUUCGAGUUCUGGUCGAGUGGUGAAGUUGCCUCUGGGUGUCUUCAGAUCAAGUGGUGAUGAACAGGUUAUUUCCUCUUCUGGAGCAAAUUUCAGGGAGAGCCUAUCCAUCCUCGUGCUCUUUAAUCAUCUCUACAAGAGGUGUGAAGUUCUUCCAGUUCCGAUGCAUAGAGUUGCCGGGAGACACAUGAAAGUCCCGCAGUGGGUCAAGCAAGACUUGUGCAAUGUCUGCUCCUUAGAUAUCAGUCUCUGCAAACUGGUGGAGGAAGACCUCGAGUUUCUGAAGACGCAGAUGCCCAACCUGCAGGCUCUCCAACUAAGGUUCGAGGUCCUCCCACGGGAGCCGGUUGCCAUCACUGGUGGAGGGUUCUUGAAGCUAGAGACGUUCUACGUCGAUUGCCGUCUGCCACGGGUGAUCACCUUCUGGGAAGGAGCGAUGCCGAAGCUGAAACAUCUUGAGUUCAAGUUCUACACCGGCACGGCAAGGCAACACUACUCCAUGGGAAUCAGGCAUCUCGACAGCCUUGAGAAGGUCGUGUUCCGAUGCUCCGAGUACUAUACAAGUCACGGUCCGGGCAUCCGCGAGACAAUUGAUGUACUGAGAAAAGAAGCUGCGGAGCAUCCCAACAAGAUCACCCUUUGGGUCAAUAACAUGAAACCUGAGGUUUUCCUCAAGACAAUUGAUGUACCCUUUAAAGAAUGGAAACGUGAACAACGUCUUCGACUAUCGACGGCAGCAGAGGUGCGAGCUCAGCGGGACAAAAACAACGCAAGGGCUGGAACUGAAAAGAAAAUUCAAGAAAGGAAAAGCAAUCUUGAAAUCAGGGAACGACGAUUGAGGGAAGCAGAGCGCUACUAUAACAUAUAAUAAUUGCUGCAAUAAUGGAUUUACGUUUUAUGCACUUGUUCGCUGGGCCUAAACAAAAACAUAUUAUAUCUUUUUUUUUCAAAAUCGGACCUUCCUUCUCCAUGACUCUAUGUGACAUUAUCUGUACGCACACUUGAUUGUCAUUAUUUUUCCAGUUUAGUUUCUCUUCGUCAUAUGCAGCGCUAGCUUGCACCAUGCAUGCGCACACUAAACAUUCCGUAUGCCUUGUUCCUAGCAACUUAUCCGUCCAAUCAUUCAGAUAAAAGUCGUCACCAUGUGAGUAUGAUUCACGCUAGUGAUCCAGUUCUGUUAAUUAUUUGCUUCCGUAUUAAAUAGAGUUUUAAAAUAUUUAAAGUUCAUUAAGUAAUAAACUAAGGGAAAAAACCGAACUGAAUUUAUUUAAUAACACUUGGAAGCUGUUCUAAGAGGGAUAGAGGGAUAAUAAAUAACUUAAUUUGAAAUUAUGUAUUUCAAAAUAUGUAGCACUUGAUCUUGUAAAUAUUAAACUAAACCUUAUAUAGUGUGCUUGUUGAGUUUCGUAACAUUUAAAGUUCAAACGCUAUUUUUAUUGAGAUGUUCCAAGUAGGUAUAUUUAACUAAACCCUAAGCAGGAUAUAGGAAUAAUAAAUAGCCUACUCUAAAAUUUAGAAAUUUCAAAAUAUAUGGCACUUUGGAACAUGCACACCAUAGUGUCACGCAAUGAAAAUAUUUGUUUGGAGGGGUUGUUUUUAAAAUAUUAUUAAAAAUGGUUAAAUUAAAAAAAUUUGCUUAUGUUUGGUUCUGCUCUAGGCAUGGCCGCAAUGUGCGAAUCCUCUCUCUGUUGGAGGGAUUGGAUGGAUGCUGCCGAUGAGACAAGGAAUUGAAACGGGCCAAAAUAAGUUCUCCUAUGAAGCGGGUCUGGGCCUAGUCAUCUCCGCCUGAGUGAACAGGGCUGCCCGCCAGUCCAAGAAUGAAACUCUCUCUGCACUGGGGUCGCAGAAGAAGAUGACGCGUGCAGCCGCGUCAAUGCUUUUCUGUUUUGCAUAUAUACCUCCUCAUCAAAAUACUGUGUACUGAUCCAUAUAAGCACGUAAAAGACUAAUCUAAUAAAAAAAGACAGCACAAUUAUUCAACUUGUCGCGAUCAGAUAAUUAUGCACAGCGCAAUUAUUAAUCGGAAUGGGUCUAUCGAUUAUUCGAUUUGCAAGAUGGCGCUGCUCGAGGAAAGCAUGACCGGAUUAUACCUAGCAUCCUGAACGGAAAAUGGUGGUGCAGAUGCUGAUGCAGAGCACUCUGCCUUGACAUGGAAUGGUACAGAGCUGAGCUCCCGUCUCGGAUUAGUUCCCUUCUCGGAUUUGUAUCUCGUGCGCAGGAGCCUGAGACCAGAUCGAAUUCGUUUCGGCUUCAAGCGGGCCUGGCCCUGGUCUUCUGUCUAAGGCCCGCUUAUAUAUAGAAAGAUAAAAAACGCAAUGAUCUUGGAUUCUUCGUUAAAGCUAACCCUCAGGAGAUCGUCAUCAGGUACCAAAAAGGGUCAAGUUAAAGAUUUAAGGUAAUUCUUCCUGCCUCCUCAUCAGAUGAAAUUUAGGUGCACAGCUUGACGGUCCCCAUGUUCUCACUUGGCCUUGUGCUGCCGUCACUUUUGUUCAGUGUUUUCCAUCUUCAGCUCAUCUGUACACAACUACAGACAUUAGUUUGACACUUUUUGCUAUCCUUGCACAACUGGCGGCAUAAUGAACGCUCCAGUAGUGUUCUUGUGCAGUCACACAGCUAGUGCUUCAUUCAUGUAUUUAUAACCCCAACAAACACUGGAACGAUGUAGCUAGCAGCUCCAGCCAUACAUGAUAGAACGCGAAACACUAAUCAAUAAACAACCAAAAAAAAAACCUCAGCCUAUUUUGGUCGAACACAACAUCUAACCACAAAUUAUUGUCGCCUUCCGAUCCCCGGUCCGUCGCCACCUCCCCGGCCGAAUGAAGAGGCACUCGAUGCUAAGACUGUUGACGAAGAGGCACUCGAUGCUCCCACUGCUACAAAAGCUGAGGUUAAAACAGAACCUGAGAAUCGGGAGGAUGAGAAAACUAGCAAGCAUUUAGGGAGGAGCAGUGCUAGUUCGAACCAAGGAAGCACGAACGGUUAUGCCUCAGCAGCACCAGGCCUUAACGAACAGGAAGCCAACUCUGCAUUGAAAAUCAUGCACGAGUUAUCUGAUCAUCAGUUGGAGCAAAUAGAGAAGCACCUGGAUUCCAGCACCCAUGUUGCUGCCGUGAACUGUCCACAGCAAACUCAAAUGGUUAUGGUUUCCAUGCCUGGCUAUACUUUGGGAGAACACGCAGGUCGCAGCCAAAGGCAGUACCACGUCGAUGGUCAGGGGAACAUGUGGAUCAACUACGCCGCGAACAGCCACAUGGAUGGGAGAGUCAUGACACAGGCGGCGGGUCUGCAAACUGCGCAUUUGUUGCCAGGUCCCGUCUCCGUCCCCGUGCCUGUUCCUGAGAACAACUUGGCAGGUGUUGAAGUUGGUCCAGCUCCAGGAUGGAAAUGGGACACCGCUGAACGCGUACUGAUAUGCGACAUGGGCGAUGCCCCAGGUCUCAGACUGCCAGAAGAGGUGCUGCACCCCCGACUUUUUUUUAUUUUGACCCUUUUUGCGAAAAAAUUUCAUAAAUAGGUCCCUGAUGAAACCAAUUCCAAAAAUGGACCCUUAGCUUGGCACCAGGAUGGCUGGCACCAAGCUAUAACGUUUGGCGCCAGCCUCCAUGGCGCCAAGGUCCGCGCACCGCGCCUCCACCGUGGCGCCUGGCCUCUGACGUGGCGCAAAGGUUUGGCGCCAAGAUCUAUGGCGCCAGCCUUGGCGCCAUAGAUCUUGGCGCCACCGACGCCAAGCCUUUUAACUACGGCGCCACCCUUCCUUUACGCGGCCCUUUCUUUCUUCCACCAUUCCACGACUUAGUUGCGCCGCCACCACCGUCCGCUCGCGUCGCCGCCGCCCCGCCUGCCCCCACCCCCGGCCAGCUCAAGCGCCCGCCGCCGCCCGCGCGGAGAGGAGGCCGGCCGGCGCCCGAAGCCGCCCCCGACCGUCGGCGCCGAGCUCACCCUCGAUCGGCCGGCUGUUGCCGCGCCUGGCGCUCGCCCCGGUUGCUCCUGCGCCCGUCGCCGACUUGCUGGAAGGCCGCCCGCUGACCGCCNNNNNNNNNNNNNNNNNNNNNNNNNNNNNNNNNNNNNNNNNNNNNNNNNNNNNNNNNNNNNNNNNNNNNNNNNNNNNNNNNNNNNNNNNNNNNNNNNNNNNNNNNNNNNNNNNNNNNNNNNNNNNNNNNNNNNNNNNNNNNNNNNNNNNNNNNNNNNNNNNNNNNNNNNNNNNNNNNNNNNNNNNNNNNNNNNNNNNNNNNNNNNNNNNNNNNNNNNNNNNNNNNNNNNNNNNNNNNNNNNNNNNNNNNNNNNNNNNNNNNNNNNNNNNNNNNNNNNNNNNNNNNNNNNNNNNNNNNNNNNNNNNNNNNNNNNNNNNNNNNNNNNNNNNNNNNNNNNNNNNNNNNNNNNNNNNNNNNNNNNNNNNNNNNNNNNNNNNNNNNNNNNNNNNNNNNNNNNNNNNNNNNNNNNNNNNNNNNNNNNNNNNNNNNNNNNNNNNNNNNNNNNNNNNNNNNNNNNNNNNNNNNNNNNNNNNNNNNNNNNNNNNNNNNNNNNNNNNNNNNNNNNNNNNNNNNNNNNNNNNNNNNNNNNNNNNNNNNNNNNNNNNNNNNNNNNNNNNNNNNNNNNNNNNNNNNNNNNNNNNNNNNNNNNNNNNNNNNNNNNNNNNNNNNNNNNNNNNNNNNNNNNNNNNNNNNNNNNNNNNNNNNNNNNNNNNNNNNNNNNNNNNNNNNNNNNNNNNNNNNNNNNNNNNNNNNNNNNNNNNNNNNNNNNNNNNNNNNNNNNNNNNNNNNNNNNNNNNNNNNNNNNNNNNNNNNNNNNNNNNNNNNNNNNNNNNNNNNNNNNNNNNNNNNNNNNNNNNNNNNNNNNNNNNNNNNNNNNNNNNNNNNNNNNNNNNNNNNNNNNNNNNNNNNNNNNNNNNNNNNNNNNNNNNNNNNNNNNNNNNNNNNNNNNNNNNNNNNNNNNNNNNNNNNNNNNNNNNNNNNNNNNNNNNNNNNNNNNNNNNNNNNNNNNNNNNNNNNNNNNNNNNNNNNNNNNNNNNNNNNNNNNNNNNNNNNNNNNNNNNNNNNNNNNNNNNNNNNNNNNNNNNNNNNNNNNNNNNNNNNNNNNNNNNNNNNNNNNNNNNNNNNNNNNNNNNNNNNNNNNNNNNNNNNNNNNNNNNNNNNNNNNNNNNNNNNNNNNNNNNNNNNNNNNNNNNNNNNNNNNNNNNNNNNNNNNNNNNNNNNNNNNNNNNNNNNNNNNNNNNNNNNNNNNNNNNNNNNNNNNNNNNNNNNNNNNNNNNNNNNNNNNNNNNNNNNNNNNNNNNNNNNNNNNNNNNNNNNNNNNNNNNNNNNNNNNNNNNNNNNNNNNNNNNNNNNNNNNNNNNNNNNNNNNNNNNNNNNNNNNNNNNNNNNNNNNNNNNNNNNNNNNNNNNNNNNNNNNNNNNNNNNNNNNNNNNNNNNNNNNNNNNNNNNNNNNGGGUUUGGCGCCCGCCGCCGCUCGCCUGAGGCCUUGCCCGCGAGGAGAGGAGGCCGGCCGGUGCCCGAAGCCGCCCCCGACCGGCCCGCUCAAGCCCGCCCCCGACCGCCCGGCCGCCGCCCCGCCCGUCCUCGCCCCCGGCCGGCUCCAGCGCCCGCCGCCGCCCGCCAGAGGCCGCCCGCCGCCGCCCGCGCGGAGGCCGGCCGGUGCCCGAGCCCACCCCCGCUGUUGUGCCCCUCCGGCCGGGCCCCCGCGCCCGUCCUGCCAGGAAGGCGGCCGCCUCGCCUAGGCCCCCACAGCCAGCCCACCAGGAAGGCGCCCACCUCCGGCCAGAGGCUGCCCGCGGCCUCCCCGCCCCCGACGUUGUGCGCCCUCCCUGCCCGGCGCCCGACCUCCGCCGGUGUGAAGGACUCAGGUAGAAUCUAGCUAGAAUUUAGAUUGUUAGGUAGAAUUUAGAUAGGUAGAUGAAAAUAGUUAGAUAGAUAAAUUAGAAUUAGAUUGUUAGGUAGAAUUUAGAUAGGUAGGUAGAAUUGGUAGAUGAAAUAGUUAGAUACAUAAAUUAGAAUAGUUAGGUAGGAUUGUUAGAUAUGAAAACUAAUUUAUUUUGGUAACUUAUUUUUAUUUUUAUGAAUUGCAAUGAUAGAAGGAAUAGAGAAUGCUUGUGACACUAUUUAACUAGAUGGAUGUCCAAUUUUGUUUACGUAGUUAGAUGUAUAGUUAGUUACAUAGUAAACUAGUUAUUAUGAUAUUUUGUUAAGUAGUUGCACAUAUUAGGUGAUAUAGUUAGCUAGUUUUAUGAUAUAGUUAGCUAGUUGUAUGAUAUAGUUAGUUAGUUGUAUUUAGUAGUUAGUAGUCAAUUGAUACUAUCUCAUUUCAUACUAGAGAUCUUGUACUUAGAAUGCUUCAUUUAUUAUGCACUAAAUGAAUUGUGCGUCGUUAUAUUGAUGUACUAGAUGGAGAACGUAGUGAGCAUAUAUCACGGAGGCACCGUGGAAAAGGAUGAAUAUGGAUGUGUUAAGUUUGUUGCCAUGCAGUGCGAGGUUGUGAUAUUUGAUGAGAAACCUUCGUUUAGUGAGUUGCUUUCAAGGGCUCGGGAGGAGCUACAUUGUCAUGGAGAUGAUGAAAUCACAGUCGAGGGCAUACUUCACCUAGGUUCCCCUCUCAACAUUCAAAAGAAGAUGGUCCCAAUUCGGUGUGCAGGCCAGUGGGAAAAAUAUGUGAGAACGGUUAUGAAUGGUCAUUCCCCAAGUGUUGAAGUGGUUGUUUGUCGGGUGGGAGUUGAUCCAAAUCCUUGUCGGUUUUCCCGACCAAUGGGUCAACUGGUACACUUCGAUCCUCCCGUCCCAGAACCUGUUAUGGACGUGGAUGUUGCACCUACUAUUCCCGAUGUUGAAUCUGCCUCCAAUGAAGUAGUUGGACAUGGUUGUCGGAUUGUUGAUGAUGUGGCGAUGCCCCGGUUCUCAGUACUGCCAGAAGAGGUGCUGCACCCACUCAGAAUGCGCUUAGGGUCGGCCAAAUGGAUGUGAUGCUCGGCGUGCAAGCCACGGGAGGCAUGGCGUACGGAGCUGCCACUGCUGCUGUGAACCCUGAGGUCUUGUACCACGCAGGUCCGGAGCUUGAGCAGCUGAACCCUGCAUGGUUCCCCCACGUCCAGCACGACGGCAUGCACCACCACGGAGGAAGCGGUGGCACCGGCGUGUACUUGCUGGGGAUGGACGGUGGCGCUGGCGCGCACGCUCACGGCGGCGGCGGCUAUAUGACUGGACCACCAAUGGUAGGCCCCGUGCACCCUGAGUAUGAGCUGAUGCCUGCAGUUGUGUCCCCUGUUGCUGUCUGGAGCGAUGGGGGGAGCGCCAUGGUGCCUGCAUUAGGGCAUCCGGCUGAGACUUGGGGACCGGCGUACGUGGAGCACGUGUACUAUGCCUGAUCGCCUGAUUUGCAGUUGCAACGCUUGUCGCAUUGUCUGAAAAUUAGCAUCUCUUGUUGUGUUUUGCACUUUUGCUUGACUCACAACUCUGCCCUGGCUAUGCUUGGAGGCUGUACAACUCUGCCCUGUCUAUAUCACUUUGUCUAUCAGCGAAUGUGCGGCGCGUGAAUGUUUCGGAGCAUCUAUUGCGUAUGAUAUCUUUAACGAUUUGGAGUUGGAGCAUCCGUUUGCUCUGUUUUUUUUCUUCCAACUUCAAUUCAGUCUUGUAACGACGCUGCAGCGUGCUCGCUUCUAGGAUGGAUUCUGUGUCACCUUUGCGGCCUUAUCAUGUAUGGUACCUGAACGAAAUUCGUGUGCUAUUUUGUUAGCUGAAUUAUCGUGAAGAAGCAGAACGAACCUAGGUAAAAGCCGGGGCAUUCCUUUGGCCGGAAUCUGAAACGGGAACCGGGGCAUGGCCAGAGGCUUCGGUGCAGAGCCCAGCUUCGACGCAGCGAAUACCUACCCCCCCAGCUCGACUCCGGCGUCCGCUCGUGGCCGCCGGCGUGACCAGUGACGAUGUGGGCCAGCACAUAUAAGCACGGGGCGUUGCGAGGCGGCAUGGGAAUGGUUACAGAGUGGAUCGAUUGAGCACCACAGCUCCCAUCCCCACAUGUAAGAAUUAUUGCUAUCAAACAAAUGUAGUAACUAUGGAUAUAUGAGGGCAUGCGAGUGGAUUCUGUGAAGCUUGAAGGCGUAUUGAUCAGUUGAUUUUGUCAUGCUCAUCCACAGAGAGGAACAAAUACUUCAAGAAGCUUGUGUGGUAGUUCUGCUAAUUAAGGAUACAUCAUCUAAUUUUCUGGACAUGGUCAGGAGGGUAGUCAUCUACACUCUCCAGCUGAGUUUUUGUCAGUUAUUGUCAUAAAAAUAUGAAAAAAGUUGGGAAGUUGAACCUUUUUCCAACAUCUCACCGCAAGCGCAUGCGACAACUGCUGAAGUCCAGGUAUGUAGUAGUCAUUCUACAAGUGCUGAAUGUGCCCUGAGAUCUUUAUAAAGAUGAACCAGUACUUUGCACUUUUUUUAGAAACUUGCACAAAGUCUAAUUGGAUAUUUGGGGUAGGCAAGUGUGCAUUAAUGAUAAAUUUGGAUUCGAUUAAUGGAAGGUAAAUAUUACCUUAUCUCCCAAAACAAUGAACAUGCCUGUUAUCAUGGGCAUUAGGCUAGUCCCAAUGCAAGGUUUCAUUGCACUAUUUUCAAGGAUGCCACAUCAUCUCAUGAGGUGUAUUCUCAUGAAUGAAAUCGGGAGUCCCAGUGCACAGUUUCAUUUCACGAUUUCAUAGGAUGCCCAUGACAUUUAAUUGUGAGGCAUGUGAUUGGAUAUGGUUAGAUAAAAUGAAACUCUAUAGCCCCCAAUGCAAGUUUCAAUAGGUUUCAUAGUCUUGGAAACAGUGUAUACACAGUUUCAUCCUGAUGAAACUCCUUCCCUCUCUCACUUCAUAACUAUUAUGCCAUGUCAUCAUAUAUGCUGAUGUGUUACCGUAUUUAAUGUGCAUGAAACCUCUAUGAAACUCCCACUGGGAUUAGCCUCAGGAUGAAACUGUGUAUACACUGUUUCCAAGACUAUGAAAUGUCAUCUCUGGAUGAUGCAACCAAAUUAAUGUAUAUAUGUCCGGUAAUUAACGUUGUGUUUAAAUUUUUUCGGUGCCGGCAAAACAAGGCGUCUCCAAAAGGUAUGUCUUUUAGUCACCGUGUCACUGUAACAUUAAUCAGUUUAACAUUCAAAUGAGUGAAGGGCAUCUUAGCAUGGUAAUUUCAUGCCUACUUGGCACUUUUGGCAACGUGCAAGAGUUUUUUUGUCUUCGAUUCCGGAGCCAUACUAGCGCACGCGAUCCGUGGGCCUCGCAAUUCUAUGCAUAUAUUAAGUAAGGUACAGGCACAGUUGCUUUUCAAAAAGCAACUGCUCUGCAAAUAAUCGUUGAUGACUUCACCAAGUCAACGUCUUCGUCUUAGCCGGGCGCUCAUUCCACUAGCAAGGUACUAAGCAGUCAUCUCUAGUCCAAAACUCAAGUAUCCUUGCUGCUAUCAGUGAUCCCUGCUUGUUUGCUUUCUCUUUUUGACCUUUUCCAAGUCCAAAUGCUCCACAUGCUUUGCCUGAAAGAGGGCACUGCUUGGAAUGUGGACUUAUUGUAUGGACAUGUUGCCUCGGCCAUUCCACUAAACAAUGAUUUUUAUGAAAAAUCCCAAAAGGUGUGAGUUUUCGUGUUAAGUCUAAAAUGAACCUUCGCAUAGUCCCAGGUCUGGUCAGCACAGAUUGACGACUGUGAGGGUCGGAGACCCUAUUGAUAUAUUUGCUUCGUGCAAACUUUCCUGGGGUAAUAUCCGCGAGGCGUAUGAUAGUAACCUUAUUUGGAUCCUAGUAUAUUUGUGGAUGGACCUUGAUAUAUAGCUAGUAAACACUAGUAGGGUCAGCAAAGCAAUACAAUUAAUGCUCAUGUGUUAUGAUUCCUUCUACUACUUGUUUAAGACUCCAUGACACUGAAGAUAAUUUUAGGAUGUUCAUUCCAUAUAUACCCACUUGCCACACUUUAGCACAACCUGUAUGACCUUUAACCUAAUCAUGCGACAGAAUGAUCACUUUAUAGCACCAAACUGAAAUUUGAUACAUUGACCUCACAGAAGUCGUCGUCUAAUCCUGAGGCUGAAUCGACUUAACCUUUAAAUACCACCCCAUCAGUACUGGUUCAAUAUGGUAUUAUAUUUGUAGUUUGAUUAAUGGCACAUAUAGUAUUACGUCUUGGAAUGAUUGAUGGACAUACGGAUAGUUUUGUAUGUAUAAGGUUGUUGAAGUGAUAAAAAUAUUAAGUCAUCGUGCAUAUACAACGGUCGGUAAAGACAUCUCGAACGCCAAAAUCAUCAAUCUUUUGUGUGUGUUUGUGUAUAUAUAGUACUUUAUUACAUCUUUGUAAUAUCAUCAGAUUAAAUCUAGCUUUGUCCAUAUAGUCUCCAAAAGGCAUGUCUAGUCAUGGUCACUCUAACGAAACUACCUGCACGGUGAAGUCUUCAAGCCCUGAGUCGCUACGAGAGCCUCCGAUCAGUGAGCCUCGCAAGUCUAUAUACCCAAUCAUGCAUGCGAUAGGUCGAAUGCCACUAUAGUUAGCACUUUAUAUAACCAAACUGAAUUUGAUACCUUGAGCUAUGGUUAGUUUACACCUAAUCCCAAGGUUAAGUACCACCUAUACCUAGGUUCAUUGCAUUUUUCCACGAGCAAAGUACAGCGUUAACAAAUUGAGUGUUUUGGAAUCAAUGCUCCACGCAUCUCUUCAAGUUGAAGGGUGGCUUCAACUUGUGCCGUGAGCAAGUUUAUUUAAUGAACUAAGUUGAAACACUGCAUCAACCGGCGUGGACGCACACCAUGGUACGAGCAGGAAGACUUGAAGGUUACCACCGUGGACCAGAUCUGGCACUGCAAGGGAAAUCUGCUCACCGAUGAUCGGGGUAAUGCGCUCAAGGACUUGUGCCUCUCUAUGGCACUCUCAAAGAUGCUCAACCGAAGGUUUGAUGGGUUCAAGCUCUCUAAGGCAGAGCUUCAGAAAACCCAUGACUUCGUCUUCAAAGGCCUUCUCGCCGGGGACGAGCCACAUCUGCGGGCCUUCAGGGUUAUUGAGGAGGAGCUUGUUUUUGUCCAUGACAUGUAUUACACAAGGUACUCUUACCUUUACCAAAAGGGUAAAUACCUGGCUCUCUGUCUGCCUGUCAUCAUGAUUGCCCUAUGCUCGUGGCUCACAGUAGCCUGCCUGGACGUCAAGUAUCAGGACGACCGUUAUCGCAGUAAUCAUGGCAAGCGCAGUCUGAUGUCUGAAACCAUAGUCAUAAUGGUUGUCUUGGCAUUCCUGGAGGUAUACCAGCUGUACCUGUACAUAGCCUCAGGUUGGUUUAAGGUGGCACUGAUACGGAGCUACGUCGCCGCACCUUAUUUCCAAACAAGCUGUUUCUCCGAGAUGAUCAUACGUCUUCUCUUGAUAUGGAAGGCGUUUCGCCCAUGGAAGGGCAGACUUGGGCAGUACUGUUUCCUGGAAAAUCUUGGCCGCAGAAGUAAGCUUAUGAGUUGUCUCCAUUAUGGUACACUGGGCUUGCUGGACAAGGCCAUGAAGGGAAGGAAGAAUUCAGUGAAGCUGUCCGAAGAUGUGAAGAAAGCCAUCAUUGAUUCCCUACUAGAAAGCAAUGGAGUCCUGACGAACGGCGUAACAUCGCUGCAAAAGAAUGGCGUCCAUGAUGACCUCAAAUGGCCAUGCGAUGCCACGGCUACUGACGGAGCGGUGGCUCGCACCAUUGUGGUCUGGCACAUUGCUACAACCCUGUGCGAGCAGAAGCUGGAUAAACAAGCCAAAGAAGAAGACGCUGUCAAAACAGCCUCCACUUUAUCCAAGUACUGCAUGCAUCUCCUUGCUUUUGCACCUAACCUCUUGCCCGACCACAGCUCCAUAUCGGAAUCCAUACUUGAUCAGUCAAUCGAUGAAGCAAGCAAGUUACUCAAAGAGGGCAAGAACAAGAAGAUCAAGGGCAAGGACAAGAAGAUCAAGGGCAAGAACAAGAAGAUUUUGGGAAGGUGUGAGAUACUAAUGGAAACUACUAAUACCGAUGGUUGUGUUGAUGAUGAAACAAGGCUUGUUGCGCAGGGCGUUCACCUUGCAAGGCAACUGAUUGAUAACAUACAAGACUCCACAACAAGGUGGAAGGUGCUAUCUGAUUUCUGGGCGGAGAUGAUGCUGUAUGUCUCGCCAUCCGAUGAUGCUCGGGACCACCUGGAAGUUCUUGCAAAAGGAGGGGAAUUCAUCACGCACCUUUGGGCGCUGCUCACGCAUGCCGGUGUGCUGAAGAGAGGCCCUACAGAGCCAAUAGAUGCUGUCUGAUCUUUCCAACUUAACCAGUGCACACGUAGCAGUCCAUAUAUCUACCUAGUGCUUGUAACAUUCUAUGUAUAUUGCCAACUGUCAUGUUUGGACACACCAACUUGUGGCACACCAUGUGUGAGUUAGUCUACCGAGGUCUGUAUCUCUUUUCAUGUCGAGUCUGUAUCUCUUUUGAUGUGGUGUCUGUUGUCAGAUUUUGGGCAGAGUAGGAUCUUUAGUAUCUGCAAGUUUUGUUAAGAAGAGCGCGCUUUCAGGUUGUCGGACAUGCGCUUUCAUAGUUUGUGAUUUUGGUGAUUAAUAUCAAAACACGAUCAUUAGGAGUGUCUAGAACAUGCCUUGAAGGUAUUCUAGGUUCUAAGGAAACAACCACAACCAAAGAUAAGAAAAGGAACGAAGAAAUCCAAGGAAACGGAUCAUCGGAUGUUCCGAUGGCCCUAGAGAUGGCGACGGAGCAAGCGUCGGAGUAAAUGGUACACUGCAAAGAAGUUCGGGCAGAGUCCACAAUCGGAUGUUCCGAUGGUUACAUUUCUAGUAGCGUCGGAUGAAUUCUGAGGGGUAGGCUUGAAAGCAUGUGUUGGAUGAUGUAAGCAUGCAGUCUUUGGAUGAUGCAACCAAAUUAAUGUAUAUAUGUUCGGUAAUUAAUGUUGUGUAUAAAUUUUUUUCCGUGCCAGAAAAACAAAGUGUCUCCAAAAGGCAUGUCUUUUAGUCACAGUCACUGUAACUGAAUUCUUUGCGUAGUUUGUUGUUGCUUAACUGCACACAUAAAUCAGUUUAACAUUCAAAUGAGUGAAGGGCAUCUUAGCAUGGUAAUUUCAUGCCUACUUGACACUUUUGCAACGUGCAAGACUUUUGUUGGUCUUCGAUUCUGGAGCCAAAGCUACUAGCGCACCCGAUCGAUGGGCCUCGCGAUUCCAUGCCAAAUCACGUGAUAGAAUGCCACUAGUUAGCACUUAUAGCACCAAACUGAAUUUGGUGCCUUGACCUAGGAUUAGUUUACACCCAAUAAUCCCAAGUUUUUUAUGUACCGCCAUAUAAAAUGCAAUUUAUUAAAACUGGUGAUGAAUGUGAUGCGACAAAAAUAUAGUACUUUUAUAUUGAUGUGUCAUCAACUUGGUGAUCAUUCCGAGUUUAUCAAGAUUCCAACCUUAGAGUUUGGAGGGGCUCUUUCUUCAAAGAUUAUUAACCCAGGCACGAUGGCAGACAUACAAUUAAUUACUGCAUGUGUUCUAGUCAGUAGGAUGGGUUAUCAGGUUUAUUAAAUACGUACUGAGGCGUAGCAUAUAUUGCAACUAGCAACAAUUUUAGCUUGUCAUCUUAAUUGUAUGUUUGCUUUCCAUGCAUUGUUCAUAUACCGUAUUUAGAUAGCAAAUUUUGCUCUUGCUCGUUUGAAGGUAAUCCUAUAUGUAUCCACGAGACAUAAAGUCGCUGAGCUUCGUCAGUCCAAAACGCACUAACUAGUUAGGUUGAGUGUUAGCAGUUUCCAUUGACAUACGAUCACCUAGUCUGGCAGCUAGAACGUGCGUGGAGUAAGAGUUAAGUAAGUUACAUACACACUGUUGUGACCCGAAACGUAUGAGAGUAGAUCAUCAUCAUUACAGUUGGAUGGAACUCUCUAUUUAUAGCCAUAGCGGCAGGCAUUUACAUUCCACAAAUGCCCCACCUCAACCACUAUAUUCCCGUUAUAUGCUCUACACAAUGGUCAUUUGGACAUCACGUUUUUUGUGCCACCUAACAGUUCCCUGAUUGACGCUCACUUAUCACCUCCGCGAAUCUCGGUAGGGUUGUCCGCACCUUUUUCCGUGUUCUUCAUCGUCGACGGCGACUAACUAUGGCACCAAGUUUGUCAUGUUUAGUGAAUCUAGAUAAGGACCUGGAUGUAGAAGCAAUGAUCGAAGAUGAGCUAAAAAAUCUGUCUGACAGUACAAGAAGAGGGAGCAGGAUUACCAAUCUGAAAGAACAGAGUUAUAAAAGGUCAUCAGACCCGCUGUUGGGGCUAAGGAAGAUAGGGAAUGGAUCCCGCUUCUGGCCAUUAACAGAUGAGGUAAGCUCGGAAGAUGAGCUUGAGGAUGACAAUUCUGUUGAAAAUGGAGAGGAUGACAGCUAUGCUGAAAUUGGAGAUAAAAAACCCCAUCUGACUUCAAUGGGAUGUAACUCAGAAACAUUACCAAGUAGUAGGAGUAUGGUGAUGGGAUACAAAAUCAAAAUCCCACAUAGGGCUAAAGAGAAAGGCAGUGGUAAAACAAGAGUUACUAAUAAGAAAAUCAAAACAUGGAAAGGUCCAUUGCCAAAAAGAGAUCAAACACCGAAAUUGUCACUAGGGGACAUGUGGGUGAAGGAUCUUAGGACAUAUGUGCUGCCAAAAGAAAACAUACGUCUUAAUUCAUUCUUGGAUGGUGAAUCAAAAGUUCUGGUAGCCGAUGAAGUUUCUGUUGAAGAAAGCACAUUUGCAAAGGAUACAAAGGAGUUUGAAUUUCAAAAUGAACAGUUGGUUAACCUUCAAGGACCAAUAAGAUGGGUUGGAUAUACUGGUUUUGUACACGUGGGAGCACAUUCAGUUUUCCAAUGCAUUGAUAGUUUGGGACGACUCCUUAAAAAUGGAGAAUUGAGGUGGAGACCUCAACCCAAACACAACCACAAACAAAUUCACAGAACAAUCCCCUCGAAGAAACAGAAGAGGAACUAGCCUCGGCCCUCAAACAGCUAAAAGCAUUGAAGAAGGAGAGCAGAGGGAGGGAGAGGAUAAGGGACCGGAGGGCCGGUGCACUAAAUUUAAAAGCCGGAGGGAGGUGAGGCGCGGAUGAAGGUACCUUUUAAUACCGGGUGGGGGUUCCACCUGGUACUAAAGGGUCACCUUUAGUGCCAGGUGGAGCCUCCACCCGCUACUAGGGCCUUUAGAGGUGUUGGAGUGGACACUUGUUGUCAGUUUACACAAGAUCUCAUGGCCAAGCUGAACUUAGGAUAAAAAUUAAAUACAAAAAGAAAAAUAAUUACUCAUAGUUUCCUCAGCUUGAAUAUUUGCACUGAAAAAAAAAGCUUUCACGCUGUCAAGAGGGAGUGAAAAUGAUUAGUUCUGUCGGCUGUUGCGUAGUGCUUUAAUGUCAGCUGCUUAAAAAAAACAUGUUGGAUGCUGAUCUUUAUUAUCACAUAUUAACAGGGCAAGUGGUAGUAUGUUAUAAAGAUUAGUCGUGACAUCAUUAGGAAUGAGAUGAGUCCGCAGUUGGCUGAAGUUGGAAGCAAGGAAUUUGUGUAUGUAUAUGUGUGUGUAUAUAUAUAUAUAUAUAUAUAUAUAUAUAUAUAUAUAUAUANNNNNNNNNNNNNNNNNNNNNNNNNNNNNNNNNNNNNNNNNNNNNNNNNNNNNNNNNNNNNNNNNNNNNNNNNNNNNNNNNNNNNNNNNNNNNNNNNNNNNNNNNNNNNNNNNNNNNNNNNNNNNNNNNNNNNNNNNNNNNNNNNNNNNNNNGUUUGCAUCUGGAACCGCAGUUUCCAAUUCCGCCGCCGUAUGCCCCUUCGCCGGACGCAGCGAUGCCCAGGGGAGGACGAUGCCGCUGUCCCGCCGGAAGCAACGCCCAGAGGACGGUGACGCCGCGACCCCGCCAACGUCUACUGCGUCUUCUCGGCCAACGUGAAACGCCGUGCUGUCCUCACGUUCUACGAAGAAGACGUUGACGCCCUGGGGUGGUUCCGCGCAGACGAGCAGGGACGGCCGCCGCUGUUACCGUCGUAAACGCGAGGACUGCUGCCUGUGCAGUCAUCAACGAGGAGAGGGGCUCCCGCAGAUUUCAGAGGUGGGCAGCGGAUGGCAUCCUCGUCAACGAAGGGCUGCUAUGCAUUCAGUUUGGUCAGUCAAACAGCCACUUUCAUACAGCCACUUUCCAAACUUUGAGAUGUAAUUCAAAUAUUCAAACCGAAUUUGACUUGACAAAGAGCUACUUUCAAUUGUUGACUAUGUAUCAUAGAUCCCAUUUUGCAUGUUGAUGCCCAUCAUUUACAUAUAGAGUGCAUCAAAAUAUUGAGCCAACGUCAGACCAAUGUUCACUAUCUUGAGAGUCGGACUCCAGGGUUCAGACUACUGAAAGUGAAAGAGAUAGCCCAUGCAUCAGGUUGUAGUUGCAGUUUGAACGUACAAGUUCAGUAUGCAAUAGUAUGCAGGUAGUAUUAUCCAAUGUUCACUGUCUUAAUGUACGGUCUUCAGAGUGGGAAUGGUCAUUGCCAUUCAGUUUAGACAAUGAACUCUAGACAGUGCAACUUCCAAGCUUUGAGCUCCAAACAAAUUUUUUUCCAGAUUGUUGUUGUGUCAUUGAAUAUUUGUACAAACUCUGAAUCGACGAAAUACAGUUCUCUAAUGGAUAUGCAUUGUGUUGUUACCUUUCAGACCACCUUGCCAGUGAUGGGUUGUCGGAGGAUAUUGUUUGAAGAAGCAGGGCCGUCCGCGCCGAGUAGGGACUCUGCGGAUAGCCCUUCACCGAAAAGGCUGGAGAUGAACGACAUGAGAGUCGCCGUCGACGUGAGAAAUACAGAAGUGCCGGAAAGGUCACCGCCACGAUCUGAACCGUCCUAGCUGGGAGAACGAGACACUAUUGACUCCUGCAUCAAAGUUCCAGAGAUGUUGGAGAGCUCCAACACUGGAUUUCGAACUCUGCCCACACAGAUAGGUUGCCAGCAAGGGAGUAAUGAGGAUCAAACCAUUACAACGGGAAGACAGGGUGUUGUGUUCUCGCCUCCGGAUACUUUGAACGCAAACCAGAUGAUUGCUAGUGAAGAAGAAAUUCCACCACAAACACACGUAAGUGAUGCAUGAUAAAUCUUUGUUUGAAUUGUACAAAGCAGUGAUAUGCAUAGUUAAAAAGCACAAAUGCAUGAGAGUAGUCAGUGAAAAUUUAUAUUAUGUCAUAUCUUUAAGGCUGUGAUGAUAAUUGAAUUUUCUACGCAAAUAUUGAUUCAUAUGACGGUGCAUUAGUAUAUGAUGUUAAUUGAAAUUAAUGUUAUUUGAAGCAGAAUGAAAGCAUGGAUCCAAAUAUGGUACCCAGAGAAGGGAUGUCAUUCCACACGGAAGCUGAAGCAAAGGCGUUCUACAUGAGAUAUGCACAACUGGCCGAGUUCGGCGUGAAAAUGUGCAACAAGAAAAAAUUCUCUAGAGUGAUGAGGUGUAGCUGUGAAAGAAAAGGAGAUUUUUAUAAAGGUGAUGAGGCUCUGCGAGUACGGAACAAGACAACAAUGAAGACGAAGUGCAAAGCUCAUCUGAAGUUUACGAGAGUGUAUGACAGUGAAGGCAACGAAGUAGAUAUGAUUAUAGAAAAGGCAAACCUAUUUCACAACCACCUGUUGCAUACGCCUUUGAAAACCAAGAAAAUGAGGUCACACAAGAGCACGAAACUAGUACUUUAUCAAAUAAUUGAUGAAUUGUAGGAAGCCGGCGUGAGUACGCAAAGUAUAAAGAAUGUAUUGCAAAAUAUGCAUGGGGGUGCAGAGCUUGUUCCGAUAACAUCGCGGGACAUAGAGAACAUGUAAAAGAACCUCACACAGUUUGUUAUUCCUAAAUAGUAAGGUUCAUGCCAAGCUAAAGUAUAUAAUCAUUGGUGUCGUUAAUGAAAUGUACUUACAAUUUAGAAGGAUAAAAUGUUGAGUUUUUUUAACCUGUUUUACAGGAAGGCCACUAAUGUACGGGAAGAACACGCAAAUGACAUAAACAAGCUUAUUGAAUUCUUCAAGGAUUGUGAGGCUCAAAACCCACAGUUCCGAUGGGAACCCAAGCUGGACUCUGAAGGUGUUAUACACAGCUUAUUCUGGAGUCAUGCAAGCAUGCAGGGCAAUUGUGCAGAUUUUGGUGAUGCAAUGAGCUUUGACACAACUCAUAAGACUAAUAUUUAUGAGAAACCACUAGCAAUGUUUGUUGGAUCAAACCACCAUCUGCAGAAUACAUUGUUUGGAUGUGCAUUGGUAGGAGAUGAAACAGCUGAAACUUUUGAAUGGGUGUUCAAAGCAUUCAAAAAGUGCAUGGGACAAAGUAGAACAAGGUGUAUCCUCACAGGUAAUAUGUUCAUCAUUGAUGUUUAUGAUAAAAAUAUUUGAUACAUGAGCAUAUACAACAAUUUAGAGCAAUUAAAGAACUAACAAUGAUGAAUUUGCAUCUUGUGGUAGACCAAGACCAGGCAAUGGGAGUGGCGAUUGCCAAAGAGUUCCCAGGGGUUGUUCAUAAGAUUUGCAGAUGGCAUGUGGUGAACAAGCACAUGCCACAUCUAACCAACCUCUUUGGGAUGUAUGCGAAGAAAAAUUUCAAGGACAAAUUUUAUUCUGUGCUAAACCACCCACUCACCCCUGUGGAGUUUGAGGCCGCUUGGCAGGAACUAUUGGAUCAGUUCGACCUACAAAAGGAUAGCACUUUAGAUAGCCUUUACUGCCAGCGAGAACUGUAUGUGCCGGCAUAUUUCAAAGACCAAUAUUGUGGCCGGAUGGCAUCGACACAGAGAAGCGAGAGCUCAAAUUUUGUUCUAAAGAAGUGUUUUGUUGACAAGCACACGGCUUUGCACAGGUUCGCCAAAAAAAUGCUUGACUUCAUGCAUUCACGUAAGAUGAAGGAGUCUAAAGAGUCGUACCAUGGAACGGUAACGUAACCAGCGUGUCAAUUCAUAUUUAUGGAGUGCGUGUAUAAAGAUCAUUUCCCUUAACUAACUGUUGCGCUUGUACUGUGACAGAGCAAAAGGCUCACAAGAAGCAAGUGGCCAUUUGAAAUACAGGUUUCACGAAUUUAUACUAGAAAUGUGUUCAAAGACUUUGAAAAGAAGAUGAUCGAUUGCACAGUUUUCGAUAUAGAAGACAAUCCAAUAGAGGGUGAAUCAUGCUAUCUGGUAACUCACACAAAUAGGUCUUCUAAAAUAUCUUGGGGGCAGCACCAGUUCAAAGUGCGUGCAAACAAAGAAAAUGGCGAGUUUCAUUGCGAGUGCAAGGAGUGGCAGCAUACAGGUACAUGAUAAAACUAUUACAAUAUUUAUAGCGUACAUCCCAAUUUCUUAUUAACAGUACAUAUACUCUCUUGGUUGUUUAGGUUUGUUCUGCGUGCACUUGUUGAGAGCCUUCAUGAGGAUCCAGCUAAAUAGAAUACCACAACAUUACAUUCUCCGUAGAUACACAAAAUAUGCACAGCAGGAGUUGGGAUUCGACAGGAAUGACAAGCUCCAAGUUGGGGCUGAUGGAGUCACACAGUUGUACAGACUCAAAGAUCUAACGUCCCUAGCAAUGGUUGCAGUCAGGUCUGGGAGCAUGUCGCGCGCUGCGCACAUUAGAACGAGAGAGGUGUUGGCAAAUCUUGACAAAGAUAACAAAGAAAUACCCCCUGACAUCGGGCCAAGCACAACAAACAUGCACCAAGAAUCACCUGGAGAGGUAAAAAUUCUAAAAUGUUGCAUGAAGUGUAUGUUGCAUGGCAAGGCACUUAACCGCAUACAUCUGGGUUUGAUUUUGCAGGAGUUAUCAGAUUGUAGUGAAAGUGAUGAUGACUAUGGUGACAACACAAAUGAUGAACAAUUGGCGAAAAGGGUUACCCAGAUAGGCUUGUAUCAUGAUACAGGUGUAUGCGAGUUACCACACUAGGAAAAAAGAUUUGCACAAUAACAAUGACACAAUGUGAAGCAGGAAUUGGGACAAGCAAACGUGGAUGGAAAUGAAGCUAGAGAGAGUAUAAAGGGGAAAAUGGUUCUUGCAGCAAAUCUGGUAUGAUUUGUCAUGGAAGUAGUAUAAAUACGGGAAAUACACAAGUUAACUUGCAUAUCAGCAAGAAAUAUUAAAAGAGAUGUGUUAAUUGUUUUUCAGGAUGCUUUUGGUGGAGACUUUGUGCGCAACGAGGUUGUGCUAACCAACCAAACAGUCAUGACAACUAAAGAUGCAAGAGUGCAUGAAGGAUGUGCAACCCACAGUGGCGAGGUUAGAAGAAUGAGUUUGGAAAUAAUUAAUGCCAUCACCAUUGUUGCAUUGAAUUUAAAGUUUGUGCAAUAAUCUUUGCAGUAUCAUGCCAAUGAUGAUAGACUGAUCAGCCGAGUCCCACCUACGAGAGCCAAGACUAAAGGGCGGAGCAUACCACCAUCUGAAAAGAAGGAAAUUUCGUUGGGAGCCAAAGGUGUGAAAAAGGGCACAAGGAGAUGCAGUAUUUGUGGGUACUACGCAACACAUAACGCGAGAACAUGUCCCAAACUCCAGCAUAACAAAGAGCGCUUGGAAGUAUUGAAGAACAGAAUGAGAGGCAGGCCACGAGGAGCACAGCAUAAGAGUAGUGCCAGCCAGCAUGAUAGUGGAGGAGAAGAGCAUAACAUAGGGCGACAGCAGGACACAAAGAAGUGCCAAGAAAACAAAUAUAUUGAUUACGAGAGCAAUGACGAGCAGUUUUUGUGGGAUUCGUCCAGUGCUCAUUGUAUAUAAAAGGGCAUUGGAUGUCUCUGUAAUAGAUAGGGAACAUUGCCAGUAGUAGUUCCUCUGAGCACGCCUCCGUGUGCAAUGAUGCCUAAGCGCAGAGACAUGUCUUUUGAAGAAUACUGGAAUCAUUAUCGGCAACGAGCGGUCUUGAAGGAUGUUCCAGACAUUUGUGAAAGUAGUGAAAAAACAAAAGAAGAACGUGGCAAAGGAAAGGUAAUCAAGAAGAAAGAGAAUAAGGUCAGGUGUAUUUACUCGGAAUAAUGUUUUUGUUCAGUAAGUUUAUUUACUAGAUGUCACAUAUUUAAUUAUCAAAUGUAUCAUUAAAUAGGAAGUGGCAAAGCCCAUAGAAAAACAGACUUCGUUCCAAAAGGAACACGACAAAUUUAUGAGCGAUAUAAUAUUUGAGGAGAUGUGCCUUGUGGAAGGGGAGCUUCCGGACAAACUAGCGAGGAAUGGGACAACAGAAGGCGAGAUUAGCACGGUGAGUUUUGAGUAUUUGAAAAGAAUAUGAAGGACAAUAGAAAAAGAUUAUUAUAUUGAAGAAUUAUCAUAGUGUGGUAUAAUACAUUUGCAGAAUGGGGAGAACACGGAGGCGGAGGUUUCCAGCAAGAUUGGACGGUGAAAAACAACAUCAAGGAAGCCAAGUAGCGAUUAAAUAAUUUACUUAAUAAUCGAGUGCAUAAACUGAUUUUUGUAAUAAGAGUAAUAUUUUAAUAAGGCAUUACCCUUGUCAUUGUGUACAUUCUUGAGUACCGACCCCAGUAUGCGAAUUCUGAUCGUGGCGAUAGUCAAGGUGUGAGAAUAUGUAAGAAUUAGUGCAACGGAGAACAUCCCUAUGCAGUGUUAGGUCCAUGAUUUCAUUUGUGGUUGUUUGAGAAUGGAUCAUGUGAUGUUGCAGCGUGAGAAAUUCUGCCCCCUGAGAUUUUUCAACACACGCUAACAGGAGAAACUGAACAUUGGGUAACACUCAUAUGCAAUAUGAUAGCAGCUUCCUUUCAAUGAAUCAGUUUUGUUUCUCCGAAUAUCUGUGCUGCUUAAAGGCGUAGAGAUGUUUCUGUCCGUCCCUACCUCCCUCAAUGUGCUAAGAGACAAAGUCAGUAUUACCUAUAAUCGAGCUCUUGUUUUACUGUGGAAAUCUUUGGCGUAAUUUUCUAUAGAGUAACAGAGCAUCACACACACGGCAAGUAAAAGGCGUAUAUCCACAAAUAUGGCACUUCAGACAUACGACAAAAAGGAUGAAACCUUGUGCUACAUUACUGGUGUCCCAUUUCCAUUGCCGUAGCAACAUGAAACAAACGAUCAGUUUAUAAUAUACAAAAGACUAGAAAUAGCGAUAGGAAAGCUAGACGCAGCGGCCUCAUAAGAGAGGCAUACAUGCUUAAAACAGAACAAAGAGAUGCGUCGGGACUGUCGCAGCAGCAUUAAUACACAUCAAAAAUGAGGUAUUCACAUGUCAGUCACAAAACUAAGCAUUGUUCAUGUAUGAAUCAUGAGAAUGUACAAUAUGCACAGCUACAAAAGAAUAAAAAAUUAAAUAGUAAAGGGUUGUAAUGAACAAAAAAAAACUAAUAGAAAAAAGGGUGAUGAUCAUCUCGACGGUACUGAAGGAUUUCGUCGGGCAGCGCGACAACCUUGUUCUGCUUAUGAAAAGUGAGGUAAUACAAGGUCUCAGCACGCAACUCUUUUGAUCGUUCCUGAAAUUUAAAGACAUAUAGCCAUGAAAAGUAAGAAACUGCAUGCGAAAGGGUAGAGUCUUGGGAAAAGACUUACAGCAGUGAUGCUAGUGUGUAGUGAGCCAUGUCCAUCACCAUCAUAGAACUCGAGAAACUUCAUGGCAAAGAAUGCACUGUCCGACAAGGCCUUCUGGACGGCAACCUUGACCGGGACAUGUCUCCAGUUCUUGAAUGAUUUAAAUUUGAGAGGUGCAGCAAUGGAGAGAGCAUCACUUAGUCGGUGCAUGAUUUUUUUCCCAAAUUCCAAAUGAUACUUGUCCCAAUUGUUGUCACACUCAGGGGUGUACAACAUUGAGUCAAGCACAUCAAUCCGUGAUUGGCCAAAGUUAACGCAAUAAACAGACCAAUGGUGCUGAUGUAGAACUGGUAGAAGAAUCUACACAGUGUGUAAAAAGAAGAAUUGACUUAUUUUUGCGAAAAUAUAAUAACAAGGACUUAUCUACUUAACUAAAUUCACGAGUACAACAUAUGCUGAAGCUACUCAAACACAUAAUUAUGAAACCAGCAAACUCAUGGCCAGAUUGGAGGACCAGAAAAAAAUGGACAAAAGCUAACCAAAAAAAAUAGUAGAUGUACCAUCUUUGUCUUCUUCAAGUCUGUGAAAGGAAGACAACGUUGGAUGGCUGUCACUGCUGCAAACUGGCUAUAUUUGGGUUCGGAGCUGUCCCUUUUGUGCCACUCAACAUUGAGAAUUGCCUUCAAGAAAAGAAAUGCCAUGGAAUAAAAAAAGUAUGAAAGAAUGGAAAAAUUUUAAUAUAUCUAGUGUCAAAGAAUGGCAAAAUAAAAGCUUACUGAGAGGCCAGCAUCAAAAAAAAAUUCUGUAGCCAUGGCACUCGGAUCCAAUAAUCAUCAUAGCUAAGACAUUUGACAAAUCCUGUGAUAAAAGUUGAGUCUGGGAUUGCACCAUCGGCAAAUGAUUGUGCAAUCAUGUCACAAGUUAAAGGGGUGCUACCAAACUGGAUCACCGGCAUGCUGUGGAUAUUACAAUCAGCAAAUGGAGAAAUAGAAAGUUUGGCUAUUAUAAGAUUUAGAAAUGGACAAAAGCUAACCUUUUCAAUGUGGAGUCAUCAGCGCACAUGUGUCCAAAGAGACUCAUUGCUGCGUCCACAUUGGGUGCAGGACGGGACAUAAUUCCAUACUUGAAGGGUGAAGAAUAUUUAGCAGGCUUCCGUGUCAUGCGUUUCCCUGUUCUCUGUUCUGACACAUGUAAAGUGCCUGACACCAUGUUAUUUUGAUCCUUUGGAAAGGUCAAAAUAACAUUUAGUUGGAAAAUAAUUAGCUGGAAGGAUUGCAACUCGAAUCGAAUGGAGUGGGUGGUAAUCGUGUCCAGUUAAACAUACAGUUUUGGCCUGGUCUUCAAAUUGGGUAGUGCGUGAUGCAGGGAGAGUAUGCAUAGGAUUUGAUUGCUCUUCACAAUAGAUGGCAUCAAUGAGAUUGUUGAUUCUAUUCAUAUCAUGGUUGCUGUCAGGCAAACUAGAAUAGGGUGGUAUUAUAUGAUCUGAAAAAUUAAUUUCAUGAAUACAGCGUUAAGCAUGAACAGAAAUGACUCCUAAACAAUUAAAGGCUGAGCAUAUGGGUAACAAUCCUGACAGCUGCAUAUUGUAAUGUAAGCCUGGAUACAACCUGGAAAAGAGAUAAAGAGAAAAUUCAGACUACAUAAAGCUAACCUGAGCAAGUAGUAGUACGUGCAUGGUCGUCCCUGCAAGCUUCUUGAUGAGGUUUAGUGCAAGGUGUAGUGCCACCAGUUUUAGAUGUGGCGGGAUCUGUGACCAAGAUUUCCAAAAUAACCGCUGUUAAGCUUUUAUGGUAAAGGGUCAUUACCGAGCAUUUUGCUUGUUGUAGUAUGCGAUAGGCAGUACCUGUGGUGUAUGAGUUUUGGCCGUUGCCAUCCCUUAAUACGUCAUCUCUGUAGCAAGAACUUGGGGUCCUGAAAACACCGCCGUUUCCAUGCUCGAAUAGUUGAUCUACAGAAAGUAAUGUACAGAAAAAUAAGUUGAAACUUUCAGAAGCAAUUUGAUUAGGAAUUGAAAAAAAGUACAUAAUCAGAAUGGAUUGUGGGGAUCGAUGUGUGCCACCGUUGUGAGGAUCGACAAAGUCCUCUUCGAUGCCUGAGUUGUUCCUCCGUGAAGUGUCCCCAAUAUUGUUAGGAUCAGAAGCCGACCUCUGGGCAGCAAUAAGCUCCUCUAUUACCGGUCCACACUUUUCAGCUAGACGAUAAGGAGCUCUAGCAAUGUUGCAUAGAGAAGCUUGGAUGGCACAAGUGUUCUCAGAUAAGGUUUGGUUAAACUGGUCGAACAAUUCAUUAAAUGCUUGCAAGGGGUGACCAGUGAGACAACCCAAUGGAUGGGACAAGAGAUCACGCAAACGUGGAAUACGAAUCUUAGGGACAUUAGUCAUGUCAUCCAAACCAACAUUGAAGUUCCUGGGUCUUGGUGGAGCCUGGCAUGUAUAAUGAUGUGUAAAAUUGAGUAUAUACAAGGAAAAAGAAAAUGACACUAAAAGUCAACCAUGUAAAAUAUAAGGAAACUACAUGGAACAUAUGUCAGGUUUUAGAAGUGAGUAAUGUACACAGAGCAACUAGAAGAAUAAUACAACACCGGGAAUUACUGCAUAUAUAUGUGCAUAGAUAUUGUGUGUGUAUUUGUAACAUGACAAUUCAAUUUAAUAUUUGGCACAUACCUCUGUGCCAUCCUGGGCAAGGAAAUAAUCGGUUAAUCGCCUAGAAUUAUCAGCUGCACUAUUCUUUUCCUUUGAAGAGCGGUGAGAGGACCGAAACUUCUUCCUACGGCGAUCUACAACCCCGGUGCGAUCAUCAGAAGCAUUCCUCAUACGGCGAACAGAUUUAUUGCACCCCGGAUCAUGGUCAUCCGCAAUAAAAUCAGCGCUAGGAUCAUCAGGAACAUAACUCUGUUGAGGAACAUUUCGGUUGGGUAGCUGUUGAAAAGACAAUCCAGGGCCACCACCCACUGGAUAAGAUGAUCGCAACUCGGGUCGAAGAAGAACCUCGAACCUGAAGUGAGAAAAAUGAAAGUAUAAAGUAUAGACCAUGAAUCAAUGAAAAUACAGUGGACUACAGGAGAGGCGGUGAAAUUAUAAACAUGCGCAUACCUCUCCUGUGUGCUCUCGAAUACAGCUAGCUUCGGGUUGAUAGGCAUCCUAUUCACCAACCGCUGACAAGUAUCUGUCCUGGGAGACAAAUCAAAUUGAACAUACUCUGUGUCAGUAAUAAUGAAUACAAUGAGUGGUUAGGAUCCAAAUAUGUUGUAGUUGUUUACAUGGAAUAUUUACAAACUGAAAAGAAUAAAAUGAUGUAAACGUUAUGACAGGCUUGGGAAAGCGGUAGAGAUGAGAACACAGACAAAAAUGAGUCACAUAAGACCUUCUAGUUGAGCAGAUCCGUGGAGAACCUUGCUGAACACCUUCUAACUGUAAGGGAACCGUAUCUACACAUGGAAGAAAAUAAUUAGAGAGAACUACAAAAACAACUCUUUCUUUACUCGUUUUCUAAAGAUUUAGCAGAUACCUGAAGACUCCAUGAGUAGGUAUGAAAAUGAAGGAAACCACAGCUCGGAGGGAUGAUGGCAGAGCUGCCUGGCAUGGGGGAGGAAAAGAGAUGUUAAUAAAGUAUAAAAAGAGUUGUUUUCGAGUGCAUCAUUAAUAUCAUAUGAAUCCUGUUACCGUGGUGGUUCUAAAAUACCUUUCUGUUUUAUUCUUCAAAAAGGAUUGACUCCAAAAUAAGAACAAUUGAGCUUGAUGGUAGGCGCAUAAAGUUGAAGAUCUGGGAUACUGCUGGGCAAGAACGUUUUUGAACUAUCAACUGGUACGCAAUAUGCUUCGUUUGCUGUGAGGAGCAGGUUCUUUAACUAUUUAUGUGAAACUGCUCUGAAUCUACAAACUUUUGACUAUGCAGCCUACUACAGGGGUGGAAUGGGCAAUUUGCUUGUGUAUGAUGUUACUGACGAGUCAUCAUUCAAUAGUGCGUAUUCUUCAACUUCAAUCAACAGACUUUGGCUUCCUAAACUGACCUUGCUGUGGUCAUUGGCAGAUAUAAGAAACUGGAUUAGGAACAUUGAGCAAGAUGCUUCUGACAAUGUGAACAAAAUUUUGAUAGGCAACAUAGCAGACAUGGAUGAAAGCAAACGGGUAUGUUCUGUUCUUCUUUAUUGUCUCUUGUCCAUGAUAUGCUGACAUCCUAUUUGCGAUUGUGCAUUUUAAUGUUCAGUUUAAAAUGAAAACGUAAAAUCUUACUGGUGCUUGGAAGUAUUGAUGAACUGGCUUCCUCAACUGACCUUGCUGUGGUCAUUGGCAGAUAUAAGAAACUGGAUUAGGAACAUUGAGCAACAUGCUUCUGACAAUGUGCUUGCAUUAGUUCUGGCAUAGAACUUCAUGAUGUGUUACCUACGGAACAAAGUUACCUACGGAAGAUGCGUGAAAUCAAAAGCUUAAAUCAGAUUGUUGAAUCUAAUGUCCGGCUCGGCCAUGGCUCGGCCAGCAGGAACUCGACAGCACUGCAUGAUGAAAGGAACGCACAAGAGCAACUGAUUAAAGAGAAGAACAAGGAUGCGACGGAGUACUAACCGACGAGGACCAGCGGAAUCAGCUGCGAAAUGCCAAAUUGAAGAUGACGGCCUGCGGGCGAGGUGCUAACAACUGAAUGCGGUGGAGGCCCUACCCGCCAGCAGCUGGGGAGCGGUGGAUGCGGGGGAUGCCGAGCGGCGGCGGCGGCGAGGGAUGGAGACUGGCGGUGACACGAGGAUCAGAGGGCGCGACGACAGCGGAGCGCGGCGAGCUUAGGGUUUGGGAGCGGCGGCGGCGGGGGAUGGCGAGCGGCGGCAGGGAGGGAUGGCGAGCAGCGGCGGCGGCAGGGGAUGGCGAGCGGCGGCGGGGAGGGAUGGCGAGCGGCGGCGGCGGGUGAUGGCGAGCAGCGGCGGGGAGGGGUGGCGAGCGGCGGCGGCGGGGGAUGGAGAGCGACGGCGCGCGGCGGGGGAUGGCGAGCUGUGGCGGUUCCUGCUAGGAGGAACUGGAACGGGAGGAUGUUGACCCACGUUCGGAGGAGCUAUAUAUAUAUAGCUAGGAACGUCAUGCUUGAGAUAUUUUGAAAUGUCUCUUUAUAAAUAAAUUUAUGAUGAGCAAUAUAUAACUUACGGAAUGAGAUAAGUUCAAGUAGGAACGACCAACAUAAUGCAUACACUACCUGGUCAAUGUCCAUAUCGGCUGGAAACUCAAAGUUGCUCUCUGUACGUAUCCUCAUAUGCAAACCAGAUGGUGUCGUCUGAUGGGAAUCAAUUGUAAAAAUCCUUAAAAUUCCCAGCUGCGGUUGAUACUGUCAGAGGAUCACCUGGGAGGGUUGAUGCUGCUUCACCGUGAGAUGUGCAUCGACAGCGAGUUACCCGUGCACCCUCAGCAUAGUCAGAAGGGAAAGUACUCUUGGUCAGAUCCUGACGAAUAUCAAAAUAAUCAUAGAAACUAAACAUAAAAAUGAUUAUGGACAAAUUACAUAUAUAUACUCACAACACUAUCCGUCGUUGCGUGAAUGAUGCACAAAUUACUAGUAUAGAAUUGGCAUUCGAUGCGCCCCCUUUUGUGCCGGUUUAAAGUUGGCCCGGGACAAAAGGGGUGCGCCACGGUAGGUAAAAAUGGAGGGGAGAGUUAGUCCCGGUUGGUAAUUGCAACCGGGACUAAAGGCCCUCCUUUAGUCCCGGUUGCAACGACUAGUUCCGGCGCGUUGGUGGCGGCACCCUUUUAUCCCGGUUGGAGGUUCCUUUUAUCUCGGUUGGAGCCUCCAACCGAGACAAAAUGUUUAGUCCCAGUUGGAACUUUCAACCGGGACAAAAGGUGUUUCGUUUUGUCUCGGUUGGAGUUUUUAACCGGGAUGAAAACUCAUUCCCAUUAUAUACCAAGAUAGAGGCCUUUCUUCCUCCUCCAGCCCGAGCCAGACCAGCACAUAGAUAGAGAGCUGAGCUUCACCUACUCUCCGGUGGUGCCGAAGCAAGGGAGGUGCUGCCCGAAGUUUUUUUCCUCAUUUUCGUGGGAAUUUCACUCAGCCAACACAAGUGUUGUGAAGGUUUGCUACUUCAUCCUCGUGUUAUGCUUUGAUUUAUGCUUUGGAGAUGGAAAGAUUAAUUGCUAGAAUGUGAUGAAGUAGAAAAUGGAGAGGUAUUUUGAGCUAGAAUGUGAGGGAGAUUGAUGUGUCAUAUAUAGUAUGUAUUCUUGCAGUGGUUUAAGAAUGAUGCUACCUUGCCUAGACGGUUUAUCUUAUCAAAUUCAAUAAGGUUUUUCAAAUCUAUACUUGUUGAACUUGCAUACCGUGUUCAUCUCUGCGAGCAUGUUCUCUGCCGAGCAGCAACGUAUGUCAAGAAGGAGGUUCGAUUCUACGAGAAAGAGUGGAUAUGGACAUCGUCACUGUGUCCCCUUUUCCAUAGCAUCGAACCUCUUUCAUGACGAAGUGCGAUGCCGCCUAGUUGAGAACAUGCUCGCGAGAUGAUCAUGGUCUUCAAGUUCAACAACUUCUGCAGUGCUAAGGAAAGUAUUUUUGUACAUAGAUGGCUUCUGCUACUUGCUGAACUUAUCAAAUUCAAUAUGGUUUUUCAAAUCCAUACUUGUUGAACUUGCAUACCGUGGUCAUCUCUGAGAGGAUGUUCUCCACCGAGCAGCAACAUAUGUCAAGAAGGAGGUUCGAUUCUACAAGAAAGAGUGGAUAUGGACAUCGUGACCGUGUCCCCUUUUCCGUAGAAUCGAACCUCUUUCAUGAAGAAGUGCGGUGCCGCCCAGUUGAGGACGUGCUCACGAGAUGAUCACGGUCUUCAAGUUCAACAAAUGAGACACUAAGCAUGGUCAUUUUCAUCAAAUGUGUUGCUUUUGGAGCUGGGGAGAAUGUAUUUUUAAUAUCAUGUAACUCGCUGAACUCGACCGGGCAUGUACCUCUGAAAACACCAUCUUGGAAGUACGCUAAAACUGCGUGGAAAGAUGAGUGUUCGGUCUACUUGCCAGGCAGGCUCAUACCUCAGAAAAUUCUGGUCGAAUAAAAUAUACAUUGAGGUUUACAAACCUGAGGUUUCCUUGAAACCAUGUUGCUAGCAAACUACCAAAAGUAGGCCAAGCAAGAGAACAAAGAUGUCAAUUUCUCAGCGUUGGAGGGGAGUCCUUAUUUAAUAUAUUAAGGAAUAUCUGCCUUGUUUAUUCACUACUGUACAACAUUAUAAGCAAGUGGUUGCAACUUGGAACAUAUAUAGGUGGGGCCAUGUCGUAUGUCCUUCAUUCAAUCAGGGCCGCCACAUCAACGUCUUUACCUUGGGCACAAGUGGCAAAUGGAACAACAACUUGCACGCAUAUGAUGAAGAGUCCUACCCGCGUACUGCUUUAAUUUUUUAUUUUUGUUGAUGACAGGCUGGCUGAUGUUAUGGGUGCGUCUCAGUUCUAUAAAUAAAGGAGGAAACGUGGUUGCCUAUUUUGACUCACCACGGAUGCAUGUUUAUAUAGGACCAACCGCUCAAGAUAUAUACAAGAUCUCGUCAUCGUACGUGACUCGGAUACCGUUUACAAAAGACUUAUCUCUAAUCUACCUCUAAGUAUCCGAAUCAACUAAGGAUGACAAAGUAGUUGGAACUGUUUACACAAGAUAUUCUAUUCUAACAUCCUCCCUCAAUCUAAACUUCUCUUCUUGAGAUUUAGAUGGUGCUUGAAGUCUUCUAACUUGCCGGCUAUCAAAGCUUUAGUAAAACCAUCCGCAACUUGAUCAUGAUACUAAUCUGACUUGUAAUUGCUUCUUGGCAACCCUCUCUUGUACAAAGUGAAAAUCAAUCUCUAUAUAUUUUGCACGAGCAUGAAAAACUGGAUUUGCUGAAAGAUAUGUGACCCCCAAAUUAUCACACCAUAAGAUAGGUGGUUGUGUCAACUUUACUCAAGUUCAAGCAACAAAGAUUCUAACCAAAUCAAUUCUAUAGUAACAUUUGCCAUAGAAUUAUAUUCUGCUUCAGUACUAGAUCUUGAAAUUGUACCUUGCUUUCUAUCACUCCAAGAUACAAGAUUAGGAUCAAAGAAUAUUGCAAACCCCCCUGUAGAUUUUUCAUCAUCAACACUACUAGCCCAAUCAGUAUGAGAAAAUGCACUCAAUGUCAUUGAACUAGACCUUCUCAUAUGCAAUCCAACAUUCAAGGUACUAGAGAAUCAACCCAUCAUCGUCUUCAUGUCUUGUCUAACAUGUACUGACGUGACAGGAAUUUGCCAUGCGACGACCGCCAAUAUGCUAGUCUCCGCACAAGCUAGCAACGUCCAAGGAGACUGCACACAGUCUCCCUUCAGUGAAUUAUAUAUGUGUGUAAAUAUAAAAGGCAGCAACAUUCAUGAAAUGUCGACCACUAAGAUCGUGGAUUCACAUUUAGCGAAAUGUCUCUAAAUGGUUCUUACAUUAUAAUAAUAUAAAAGAUCUCUGUUGACUUCACGAGUCAAGAUAACAGUGACACUGUUCUUUUUGCCACCACAGAAAUAUACUCACAUAGCGUGUGACAAAUAAAUAAAGGAAACACAUAUUUAUUUAAAUUCUUAGUUUGUAUUUGGUUUGCGAACGAGAUGGUUCUCUUCGUCCUAGUGUUCUGUUGACUUCACGAGUCAAGAUAACAGUAACACUGUUUUUUUCGCCACCAUAAAAAAUACUUGUCAGAUACCGUGUGACAAACAGAUAGAGAAAAUACAUAUUUAAUUAAACUCUUAGUUUUUUUUGUUUGCGAACAAGAUGGUUGUGUCUGUCCUAGUUUUUUAGAUGGGAUAUCCCUUCUUUUGCUUGGUUAAGGGAAUAGUGUCACCUCUAUUUUAUAUAUUUCAUAGCAGGGAUAAGGAGAAAGAGGAUGGAUAGCUGUUUUCAAUACGUGAACCACCAUUAGCAUGGGCCUUAGUUGUUAGCUCCAACAGCGGAGGUUAGCGAUGAGGACGGAGACCGGCACGCGGACUCAGUAGUGGAGCUGUGUGGCCUUGGCCAUGGCAAGAGAAGAUGGGAGGCAGUGCCACCAUGGCUGCCCGUCUGUGCUUCAUUCACCCGCCAUUUACCAUCAACCCGAGCUGCUUGCCGUCGGUCAGAGCUACCGCAGUGUCAAUUCAAUCCACCAUUCUCUUCCAUGCUACACUCACCACCUCACCGUUGAGCUGACUCGUACCUCAGCCAUGGACAGCCGCCAUUGACGCCAGAACAUGAAGAUGGGACACAUUUAACGAUGCCAAAGUAGGAUGAAUUGUUAAAAUUUUUUUAAGAACCCGAUUAAUUCCUUGGGUGGGGUGACGCGCAAUCCUAGCAAUCCCUGAUCCAAACAAUAUCAUAAACUUGGGAUAUCCUGCUUUGUCUUGGUUUCCACAAACUAAAUCUGACUCCCUCCGAUUCAAAUUGUAAGUUGUUUUGGCAUUGUAUAUAGGUUUUAUGAUGCACCUAGAUAUACGUUAUGUCAAUAUAUAUAGUAAACCUAUGUAUUUCAAAAAGUCAAAACAACUUACAAUUUGUAAGGGAGUAUAUUAGUGGUGAAAGAAGCCUAACUCUCUUAAUUUCUCUAAGCUUUUGAAAUAGAGCACAACUUCAAGUUGUUGUAGGAGAUUCGGGUGUAUAUAUGUAAAUUUCCUUGCUUUGACAUUUCUUCAUCUAAGAAAAUACAAAAGUGUAGCAAUCCUCAAAAUCUCGACGACUACCCAGUUCAUUCAUGUAUUCACACUUGUUUGUUGUUACUGAAAAGUUUUGUGUUCCUUACAUGACACCCAAGUCCUAUCUUUUAUUCCUUAUUUGAUAUUUUUAACACUUGUGUCACUUCAGUCGAAUGAAACAACCAUCAAAUCAUCUUCAAAAUUCAUGAAACUUUUUUUGUAAUAGAACAAAUGAAGAUAAAUCCAUUUUGCUUAAAUUCGCUAUGUAAGUUUUGCUAGGAAAUAGUUUAAUAAGUUCUAGCAUCUGAUGUGAGAAAUAUUAGUUAUUUUCUUAUAAUUUUCAAAAGUGUGUCGAUGCCAUCAAAAUUCAGAUAAUUUUAGAAGCAGCCUAAUUUGGUGAAUUUUAGUUUUAAAACUGUAAAGGUUUAUGUGUCCUUUAUAUCAAAAUGGGUUAAUAUUCGUUUGUUGUAUCCCUACAAAAAGUUUCAUGAUUUUUGGAGGUGAUUUGGAGAUUGUUUCACCUAACUAACUAACAUAAGUGAUGGAAAUGUCAAAUAAGGAAUGAAAGUUCGAAGUUGGUGACAUAUUUUGAAGGAAAAACUUUCCAGGAUCAAGAAAGGAAUUAACUCAUCUUCGAGUGUCAAAUAAGAAACUUUCUCUAAGAAGAAUCGAAGAAUAUUCUUCAAAUACAAAGAUGGUAAUGACCAUGUUUCUAAUUGGCCCAGUACACACUUGUUAAAGUUUAGCCGCGUUCGUUGUUCGUGUGUCGUGGCAGCCCCGUGAUUUUGAGAUGGAAGGAUAAAGAACAACACAACUUUAUUACGCAUGCAUUGGGUGACGUAAGCAUGCAAUCCCUGGAUGACUUCACCAAGUCAGCAUAUAUCAAGUACAGUUGUGUUUUCUUCCCCACGCUACCACAAAAAAUUGUAGUCCAAAACCACGUCUCAGUCAUCCUCAUUCUAUGCCAAAUUUUUGUCUAUUUUUCCCUUGCUAAAUUGCACAAUAAAUGUGUUCUUUUUUUCCAUGAGUGAAGAGUAAUGAAGCAUGGUCAUUUUCUUGCCCAUCUGGCCACCUUUGUAGAAUGUUCAAGUCUAAAUGAGUUAUAUUUGGACAGGGGUACACUAUGGGAAACAACAACUUUGCCGAGUGCCUGGGAGCACUUGGCGAAGCCCCUAAAACACUCAACAAAUACCUCCUUUGUCGAGUGCCCGAUAUAAUGCACUCGGUAAAUAAAAAAUACUCGGCAUUUUAAAUGUUUUCCGUAGUGGUAGUACGUAUUCAAAAUCGUGUUCCUCAAUGAACUCGAUCAAGUACUUCUGAAUACAAACCGAGACUAAAGGGUCUGAGGACUUUUGUCCUUUUUCACCCACCCAUGGGGGACCCUUUAGUCCCGGUUGGUGUGAUUUUUUCACCUGGGACUAAAGGGUCUGUCACGGGUGGCUGAUUUUUGACUCGGGACUAAAGGGGGCUUUAAUCUCGAUUGGUAUUUGACCCGGGAUUAAGACCCCUUCAGUCAUAAGCCAGCUUUAAACCGGGAUAAAAGGAGGCGCAUGGAAGAUGAGUUCUCUACCAGUGAUACCAAUGCUAGACUUGUUUUAACAUUUAUUUCAUUUCAACAAAAAUUCGAAGCCAAAGACUAAAUAUUUACAUAACCAGGAUGUAUAUAGAACUUUUUGACUGCUAUUUGUCAAAAAAAAAACACCAUUCCUUGUUAGCCAAUAGCAUAGCAAAAUCUACCUCACAAUAUCAGUAUGCACAACCAGGAAGUAAAAAAAAAGCAUGAAAUCAAACAAAAAAAACAAAUCAAGUUUUACAUUCAAGCUGGUAUAGUCCUUCUGCUUGAUAUUUCUGUGCAAAUGGAAUAAAUCUUAAAACAAGUCAAACUGGGAAAUUUGCGGGAGCCACCUUGCUAGUUUGCUAGAAAUAAAAGUAGCAAUUAGGAUUUCAUUCUAUGCUAUAUAUAUACAGCCUCAGGCCGGGCUCUCCAGGACUCCAAACUGUGUACUCUCUUCAUUGUGUGGUGAGGUAGAGAACUAGGGAUCCCACCCUGAUAAGAUUCCUCUGGUGGAGAAAACCGUGGCUACUGCCGACAUGGCUUUGGCACCAAGUCCCACUCCCCAAGUUGAUGCUUUGCUACGACAUUCGCAACGUCAUGAUAUGCUAUCUUUGGACUACGUGGUAGCCCUGUUCUUCGUGGCCGUGGUGGCCAUGUUCCUUUUGCAUAUAUUGGGUCCGUUACGCCGGUGGUUGAGCCACGGUCUCCUCCAUCACAUCGUGAUGGGAGUCUACACUCUCUCCUACCCAUUGGUGGGCUACACCAUUGGGCUGAUGCAGUCUACCAAGUAUUUGUACUUGAACGACUUCACCGUGUGGGCUGUGUUCCUGCUUCUGCUCCUCACCAGCACGGACAGCCUCACGGCUUGCCGCCUCGACGACAUCGACAACUGGAAGAGCAUCUACGUCAAACAGCUCUUUAAGGGAUUCAUCGUGGUGUUUAUCGUUCUAAAGUUUUGCAUUUACAUGGAGUUGGCUUCGAAUUUGAACUACCUGUGGUACCCGCUCUCAGCCAUCCUGGUCGUUAUCGUCCUCAAGUCAUAUCUGAUGAUAGCUUCCAUGAGGAUGGUGAGCAAGUCCUACCACGGCAAGAACGUGAAGGUGAUCGCCGAAUACAUGCAGCAUAUAGACAACAAGCUGGUGGCCUUCGAUCCUGUGACCAUGGAAGGCUACCGGUACAUGGUCGCCGGUGAGAAACACUGCGUUAACCAGCCUGGGCACACACCAUGGUACAAGAAGCCGGACGACUUGAAGCUUACCACCGUGGAGCAGAUCUGGCAGUGCGAGGGGAAUCUGCUCAUUGGUGAUCAGGGCAAGGUGCUCAAGGACUUGUGCCUCUCUAUGGCUCUCUCCAAGAUGCUCAACCGCAGGUUUGCUGGCUUCAAGCUCUCAGAGGCAGAGCUUGAGAAAACCCAUGACUUCGUAUUCAAAGGCCUGCUCGCCGGGGAUGAGCAGCGGGUCUUCAGGGUCAUUGAGGAGGAGCUUGUUUUUGUCCAUGACAUGUAUUACACAAGGUACUCUUACCUCUACCAAAAGGGUAGAUACCUGGCUCUCUGUCUGCCUGUCAUCAUGUCUGCCCUAUGCUUGUGGCUCACAGUGGCCAGCCUGCACGUCAAGCGUGACGAGCACACCGAUCUCAGUAUUGAUAGCUUU
rnacentral:lncRNA from 1 species